UUUGUUAGAAUAUGCAUGGAUUGAACUAUUAUUAUUUAUCUGGCUUGACAAAUCUCCGUGUCAAUUAUUCUCACUGGUCUUGUAAUAACCACGGACCCGAGAAAUUCUUGGAUCAUGGAAGUAAUGCAUGAAUGCAUCAAGUAAUCUAGAUUGGAAUACAAAAACGAAAGAAGCACAACUUUUAUUCCCACAGAUAGUCUUAGCUAGGUUCCAUAAAUUAAUGCAUGAGCAGCAGCUGCAUGCAAUAUUAUUGAAAGCCAAAUCACAACAUAAGGAAAACUUAAGAAAAUGCCACUUUCGUAGGGAACGCGAUUGCAUUUAGCGUAUGCAACAAGCCUUUUAAACCUAUAGGUGAACCUGAUAGGACGAGUGAAGUCUCGUGAGGGUUUCCAGCGACGCUACCCACAAACAUCAAAUUAACUUAACAGGAUGAUCAUCCUGGAAGUUUUUCGACAGUGAAGGCAGGGGUACUGGUGGGUUUUUCAUUUUCGGCAGCGAGGGCAUCAUCCUCGAAGUCGGUUCCAGAUUUUGGCUCUGUAAGGUUUCCCAAUCGCACGUGGACGAACUGGUAUACGCCGUCGACGUACGGUGCCGGUUUUUGCAAAACAACAGGCUUGAAGAGUGUACAUGACCACAGGUUUUUAUUUGGCUGUUUCUCGUCAGCCUCGGCCACAAUCCACGGACUGUCUUCGCUUGCCGUUCUCAGGUAUUUGUCGCUGUAGGUGGAUUUUAUAUGCACCAGACUGGGUUGGUUUACGUCCUUCUCCGCUUUGAACCUUGCGUAUUUGCUGUGACUUUCCUCUCCGGAGCAUUCGAGCCUAUUUGGCAGCUCUGCGGUGGAUUGGUCUUUGAAGACCACGUAUUUCUGGUUCUUGGCUGAUUUAAGAGCAAAAAACUUUGGUAAGUCUGCCAUUUCUGAUGAUCUCUCUUUCUCUCUCUCUCGUUGCUUAUUGCUUUUCCUAGCUACAACCUGCUGUGCUAUUUAUAAUCAAGCAAACCCAAACCAUGCAUGCAGCUUUCACUUAUUUUUCUUGCUGUACUGGCCCGCCAUAACAGAGAAAAUUAAAUCCACAAAAAUGGUUCUGUUAAACGAACAAAUUAACUUAAUACACCAUCCUACCAAACAAUUUAUUGAAUUACUAAUUUACCCUAAUAUAAAAUGAAUUGUGAAACAAAAGUAAUUUUAGUAAGUACACUCUACUCAAUAUAUUGAACCCCAAUCAAAUUAGAAUUUUAGAGUUUGAUUCCAAACUGAUUUGAGAUAAAAAUUCAAAGUUCUUGUCGGGUGUAAAUUUUUUUUUCUUCUAUCGCUUCCAUAAUUCCUGACAUCAAUGAAGAAUCUUUGAGAGGAGAAAAGAUUGAAGCAGCUGAACAUAAUCCCUUGCCAAAAAGCCAUGGUUAUUCAUCAAACAGCGUGAAAGCAACUUAAAUAUAUUAUUUCAUUUUGAUCGGCAAGGCUGGCCAAGCUUUUAUGAACUUUUGGAGGGAAUUGUGGAAAGUCCACCACCUUGUGCACCAUCAGAUCAGUUCUCCCCCGAGUUUUGUUCUUCGUGUCUGCCUGUUAAUAAGAUAUUUACAUGCAUACUUCACCUUAUACAUAUCUAAUUCACUGGCAUGUGACUGUUUAUAUUUCCCAUUACAUUUGCAGCAUACAGAAGAACCCUCAAGACAGAUCAUCAUCUUUAGACCUUCUGGUUAGUACUUAUGAAUUUGGUUCAAUGAGUGGGUGAAUCCCUGACGGUUUAGAUUUGAUGAAGGGAAAAGGAGUUGACAGGAACAUAUUUGAUGAAGACGACCAAUUCAUGUAAAAUAGGGUGUACUUAGUAUUAUGGUGUAUCAUGGGUAUUUUGGUAGUUAAGUAGGGUGUACUUAGUUAAUUUUAUAUUUUAAUUUAAAUAUUAGGGUGUACUUAUAUUAUAGAGUGUUCUAAGUCAAUUUUAGGAUUCGUUGAACAACACCCCACAAAAAACCAAAGAAAAAACAAAAAAGCUAAAGCGUGCUUCGCAUCUUCAAAUAAAACAAAGAUAAGCUUAGUAUUAUCUUCUUUGUUGUAAUGUGAACUUGAUUAUGUAAUUUCUACUACUUGUACUUAUGGGCCAUAGCCAUUUAUCAAUUAUAAUUAUGUCAUUAAUUAGGAUUGAACAACAAAGUUGUUCAGAUGUUUACAUACACAUCUUCAUUAUUUUACUGGGACACAGACACAUCUUCAUUAUUUUACUGGGAAAACCAUUUCUCUUAAGCAAAAUCUGUCGAUUUUACGUAGGUUUGACAGUUGCGGACGAUUGUUUUUAAUUUCGAACUUCUACAAACAAAUAAAUCAAGGAAAAAAAAAAAAGAAGAACAGAAUAUUAAUUCAUAUAUUUCAAUUUCUUGUGUGAAGCUUUUAAAUUCAUUUCAACAUAAUAUCAAUAAGAUUAAGUUCGAUUUCCUUAAGCAUCAUCACUGAUCUGAUGGCAUUAGAUAAGUCUUUGAAUUACCGAACGUGAUUGAUUGAUUGGCAGGUAUCCUUAAUACAAGAAUAAAGCUUGAAAGAUAGAUUCAUCCACAGCUUGAAAGAACAAAGUUCGAUUUCCUUGAAAGAAUAAAGCUUGAAACAUAGCUUCAUCCGUAGCUUGAAAGAUAGCUUCAUACAUAGCCUGAAAGAAUAAAGUUCGAUUUCCUUGAAAGAAUAAAGCUUGAAAGAUAGCUUCAUCCACAACUUGAAAGAAUAAAGUUCGAUUUCCUUGAGCAUCAUCACAGAUCUGCUGUAGUGCAUGAUGAGAUUCUUUAAAAAAUAGCUUCAUCCACAGCUUGAAAGAUAAGGAAUAAAGCCUUCUUGUCCUUGUUCCAGUCUCCUUCAGCUCAGUGAGUUGUUGUUGAGUGACGAGGUGUAAUAUUAAUAAUUGACACAAAUUAAUGUGCUAAUCAUCCAAUUAUAAAUAUCCGCAAGUGUACGAAUCUAUUAGGGUAUAGAUUUGUAAGUAUGGGGUUGAUCCCACGAGGAACUGUCGGCCUACACAAAGUUAUAAUUUGAGAACGUAAAGAAUACUUAUUUAACACAACACAAAAGUAAGAACAAAUUGGAAACUAUGAAUGAGUAAAGAAAAGUAAAAGAAAUGAAACAGAACUAGAAACCCAAAAUAAACACAACCAGGAAUGUCUAUCACCAUUUUAUCACCUCACCACGGUAUCGCUUGUUUAUCACAUAAUGGACAGUGGGUCGUUUUGAAGCAGACUGAGAAUUCCCCUGUUUUCAACUUCAACCUCUGUUCAGUUUUUUACCUAUAACUUUCCAACUGUUUAUCCAAAGGUAACACCCCCGACCCAAUUUAAUUGUUUUAUUCAAUUUAUCUAUUUGUGAAAUUACAAAUUUGCCCUUAGGGGUAAGGACACUUUGGUCUCUUUUUGAUCCUACAGGAUUUUAGGGAAUUGAGUGGCACUGUUGCGUAGGGCUCGCUCUUCUGAUUUCGUAGACAGGCGGCACGCAAAAUUCUGAGUUAUAACGAACAUGUAAAGGUCUAGAAACCAAAAGGACGAAAUUUUAAAUUUGUUACUGUAGCUAUAGUGCCCCUACAGUGCUAUAGUGUUGGCCUCUCUUAUUUCUCUUAUUCUCCCUCGCGAUAUAACCAGAUUUUCUGGUUUUUGUCAUCCCCUCCUGAGGCGAAAGUGGCGCCGCCACUUCCGUCGUUUUUUUUUCCGCCGCCGUCUUGUCCUGGUUGCCAUCACAACCUUCACGAAAAAGGGUUAAGUUUUUCCAGUGGUGUUCUUGCAUUUUCAGGCUAUUUCGGCGAUGGUUUUUGUCGAGUGAGGUAUGAAACUUCAUCUACUCUUCGUGCUCUAUCCGUUUAUGUAGGUAUUGUAGAUCAAUUUUGAGGUUUUAUAGUUCGUUCAAUAUACCCAUUUUUUGUCGACGUUUUCGACUCCAUCCCGGCUAGUUAUGGCUAGUUUUUGGCCAUGGUCCAAGAAUAAAAAUCACUCCCCUUGUUAGUAUGAACGUAUUGCUAUAGGUAUUGUAGGGUGUUAUUGUUAAUGUAUGCAUUUUGAGUUUUUUCUUUUGGCUUCCCUUGACAAUUUUGUAAUAGGAUAAUCAUUGUAGUUUCCCAAGCUCUAAGUUUAGAUUAAGAAUUACUUCUCUAGGUGUUCUUAUCUGCCUACAUUUUGGUGGAAAACAAUGCAUUUGACAAAGGUAAAUUCUGCAUUACACUACAUUGCAUUCACUAAUUUCUGAAGAUUAUGACUAGUCAUCUUGCAUUCGUAUGACUAGUCAUCAUUCCUUCGUAUGACUAGUCAACCUUUGUUUCAAUUAGGAUUUCCAGCUCACUGUUUCCAGCUGGGGCUUAACCAUUUUUUUUAAUCAUUUUCUACGAAUUUCUCAGCUGCCAUGUGUUUAUUCUAACCUAGGAAUUUUUGGUAAAAGCCAAAGAAUUUCUCAUUUGGCAGCCGUCACUUUUGUAGGCAAGUUUUGGAAAGUUUCUCUGUAAACUUUCUCUUCUUCCUCAAGUGUAACCUUCAUAAUUUUCAUCUUUGAGUUUUCCAAAAUGUUUCUUUUUGAAAACUGCAUUUGAAAUAUGAAAACCUCAUCUUGCUAGAUCAAGCACUCUCUCAUAUAUAUCUAGGUCAGAUUCAAGUUUGAUUUCUUCAAGAGUAUGGUUUCUUGAAGAAAUUGGUCAUUCUCCUUUGAAUCUAAAUUUUGGUUUCUGUCUGAGUUGGAGCUUGCAAGCUGGUGCUAUGGAAUGAAUGAGCUGGAGAAAGAGCUGUCAUUGCCAUGAAGAACUGAGCUUCAAGCUUUGCUAAGUUGGAGAAGAAGAUUGCACAAAUGAGGUACAGCUCAUCUUCCUAAAUAGAUCUAGGUUUUUCUUGCGCUUGCUUGUGUUCCUUUGUAAGAAUCUUUUUCUGCUUAGUGGAUUGCCUGGUCGGUUGAUGACCCCCAGUUUUUCCCAAUGGUGGGUUUCUGGGUGAACAAUUUCUAAUUGCAUCUUUGUAAUUUUUCUGGGUUUGUGUUCUUGGUGGUUGACUAGUCAUCGUAUGAAAUGUGGUUGACUAGUCAUCGUAUGAAUUCUAGGUUUGUGUUCUUAGUGGUUGACUAGUCAUUGUAUGAAUCCUGGGUUUGUGUCCUUAUAGUUGACUAGUCAUCAUUAUCUGUUGUUUGGUGUUUACUUGAUUAUGAUGAUUUCACACAUUUUCACCAUAGUUGUUGCUAGCACAGGGGAUGCCUAGAUUGACGGGUCCUUCUGAGUGCCUAGGUUGUCAAUAGUAAUCUUCUAGGGUUACAGGUACAUUGUGGCACGCUCUGUGUGUAUUCUUGAUUGUGGUUGUUCAUGCCUAGUAGUUGACUAGUCAUAAGUGUACUUGGUCAAGGUCUAAAGUGUUGAAGAUUGUUGCGUUUUGUUUAAGUGUCGUAAAAGUUAGCCCUCGUGACCUAAGUACCAAUUUCAGUUUUGAGAAUUUUUCGUCUCCGGAAUUUUCUCAUGACACCCACGUGCUGCCAACGGUGGGUGGCAGGGUCUGGUCCACUGUGUGGCGGCCCAUUAUGUUCUAAAAUGUUCUCCUUGUCAUCUUGAGCACGACGGUAUGCUUGGAUUUGAAAUUGGUUAUCGUUUGACAGUCGAACGGAUGUUACACCUAAUAUGCGAUAUCCGGGUUCGAUAGGUUCAGACCUUUCGAUCAGUCUCAAUUUCAAAUAUGUCGUUCUCUAUACCUCUGGAAUCGUGCAGGAACUUGUGGAUCUAGAGUUGGAGUCCCGAAUACUCCGAAUCAAUGAUUCUAAGGUUAGGCGAAGCGAUCGCCGUUUGAUCUUGCAAUUGGCUCCUAUCUGACCACUCGAUCAAGACCAAACUUACAUAACUUUUUUAGUGGACGUUGUUGAAUGCGUAAGAUUUUUUCUUGGAUUGGAAAUCAGAGAUCAUGGGCCCUGCGGGCCUAAUUGACCAAUAUGGGGGGUUUGACCGUACAGUUGAUCUGGGGUCUUUUGAGACCAUCUUAACCUUUGGAAAACACUAAAAUGGCCCUAGGACUUUUCUUAAAGGAUGUGUUUACACUUUUGAGUCCUGGGAACCAGAGUUCUGAUCUUUAAAGUUCGGAGUUGGGUUCGAUUAACAAGUUAAGCCUAGUAUUCUAUCGGUAUGUUUUCAAGCGCAACGAAUUGCUCCGGACGAAAUCGAGGAGACUUAAUUGUGCUUUGGACCGUGUGUCAGUGGACAUUUGUUUGGUCAUGCUGAAAUAUAACUAAGUUACCUUCAUAACUGGUGAUGUGAUAUUUGCAUAAUUAUUAUCAUAAAAAGUAUUUUUAUUUUCUUGACUGGUGAUGUGCAUUGAUAAUUAGUUUCAGAAAUGCCAAGACCUGUUCGCCUUCACUUGGCGCGAGAAGAGCAAUUUGCCGCCUCCAGUUUCAUCGAGGUGUGUGAACUGUCAUUUCAGUCACAUCGGUUGGGAAACGACGACAAAAAUACAUCUAUACCCAUUGUUUUCUUGGUCCACAAAUACUCGUACCGUGUUAAUUGAAUAAAGUAAGGGUUUAGCGACGACGGUUGGGCAUAUGGAUUCCUGCUACGUUGUUGGCUUGCUAGGGCUGUUGAACCCUAGUACCUUUUCACAGGCAUAAUGAUUUAAAUAUCAAAUUUAAGGGGGGAAAUAAGUGUAGGGUUUUUCCCAUAUUGUUUAUAACCCAGUAGGAAAUUUCCCCAUUAUUUUCGGAUUUCUCCUGCAUUUGUAACGAUUUUUGUAACCAAAAAAAAAAAAAGUAAUUUGAAAAUCCCUUUUCGCUAACAUAAUGAUUUAAAUAUUGAAUUUAACCAAAAACUCCUUGCGAAGUAUAACCAAAAACUCUUUUCGAAGUAUUCUUCCCCAUAGAUACGUAAGAAUUUUCUGCAUAUUUUUCGGAUUUUUCCUGCAUUUUUUUAGUGAAAAUAAGAAACUAAUCAAACUACUUGAAGUUGCUAGAGGUUGGCAGUUGUCAGAGUUCUCAGAUCAAUAUAAUCAAGAAACUACCUAAGCAUGUCUCUGAUCAAUGUGUAUUAUCGAUAAUGCGUUUAUUGAUUAAAUGAUAAAUGUUUAUAGGAGAUGGAACAAAAGUUCUGAGAUGUUGUUGAGAAUUUUGUUUGAAUCUUUAAUUCCCCUUUCGAUUUUCUAAUGUGCAUACCUUGGAAUGCAUGAAUUGAACUAUUAUUGUUUAUUGAUAAUUCUCAGUGUCAAUUAUUCUCACUAGUUUUUUAAUAAUCAAGGACCCGAGUAAUUCUUGGAUCAUGGAAGUAAUGCAUGAAUGCAUCAAGUAAUCUAGAUCGGAAUAGUAAAACGAAAGAAGCACAACUUUUAUUCCCACAGAUAGUCUUAGCUAGAUUACAUAAAUUAAUGCUUGAGCAGCAGCUGCAUGCAAUAUUAUUGAAACCCAAAUCACAACAUAAGGAAAACUUAAGAAAAUGCCACUUUCGCAGGAAACGCGAUUGCAUUUAGCAUAUGGAACAAGCUAUCUUGAUAGAACGAGUGAAGUCGCAUGAGAGUUUCCAGCAAUGCUACCCACAAACAUCAAAUUAACUUCACAGGAUGAUCAUCCUGGAAGUUUUUCGACCAUGAAGGCAAGGUUUUGGGUGGGUUUUGCAUUUUCUGCAGAGAGGGCAUCGUCGAAGUCGGUUCCAGAUCUUGGCUCUAUCAGGUUUCCCAUUUGCACGUGGAUGAACUUGUAUACGCCAUCCAUGUACGGUAUCGGUGGUACCAAAACCACAGGCUUAAAGAGUGUACAUGACCACAGGGUUUUAUUUGACUGUUUCUCGUCGGCCUCGGCCACAAUCCACGAACUGUCUUGGCUUGCCGCUCUCAAGUAUUUGUCGUUGUAGGUGGAUUUUAUAUGCACCAGACUGGGUUGGUUUACGUCCUUCUCCACUUUGAACCUUGCGUAUUUGCUGUGACUAUGCUCUCCGGAGCAUUGGAGCAAAUGUGGCAGCGUUGAGGUGGAUUGGUCUUUGUACACCAGGUAUUUCUGUUUCUUGACUGAUUUAAGAGCAAGAAACUUUGGUAAUUCUGCCAUUUCUGAUGAUCUCUCGCUCGUGCUUCAAUAUAAGAUUGAUAUAUAUAUAUAUAUAUAUAUGUAAACUCACUUCUCUCUUUCUUUCUCUCUCGUUGCUUAUUGCUUUUCCUAUCUCCAACUUGCUGUGCUAUUUAUAAUCAAGCAAGCCCAAACCAUGCAUGCAGCUUUCACUUAGUUUUCUUGCUGUACUGGCCCGCCAUAACAGAGAAAAUUGAAGCCACAAGAAGCGUGCUGACCGCACAGGGCCUCCAAAAAUGAGGGGCCUCCAAUUUUCUUCCCCAUUUUUGUCUGACUUGCUUGACUUGCUGUCGUUUCUCUGGCCAUUUUUUUUCUUUCAAUUUUUGCUUGACUUGGUGUGGCUUGGUAUGACGUGUAUAUUAGAAAACAUCAUAUGGAACUGAAAAUAGAUAUAGAAGACAACUGAGAGGAUGUGAGUAUGUGAAAAUAGAUGUAAUUCAUGCCAUUAAUGAUGAUUUUGGUUUCAUUUUUGAAAUUUGAAAAUUUUAAGACAAUUUUUUAUUUUUUUUAACUUAUAGGGCCUCAUCAGUUUUCUUUGCACAAGGCCUCCAAAUCUAAUGGACCAGCUUUGUACACCAUACUAUCAAAUUAUUUAUUGAAUUACUAAUUUACCCUAAUAUAAAAUGAUAAAAAAGGAUAUAUUGAAUUGUGAAACAAAAGUAAUUUUAGUAAGUACACCCUACUCAAUAUAUUGAACCCUAAUCAAAUUAGAAUUUUAGAGCUUGAUUCCAAACAGAUUUGAGAUAAAAAUUCAAAGUUUUUGUUGGGUGUAAAAUUUUUUUUCUAUCACUUCCAUAAUUCCUGACAUCAAUGAAGAAGAAGCUUCGAGAGGAGAAAAGAUUGAAGCUGCCUAACAGAAUCCCUUGCCAAAAAGCCAUGGUUAUUCAUCAAACAGGGUGAAAGCAACUUAAAUAUUAUUUCAUUUUGAUCAACAAAGCUCGACAAGCUUUUAUGAACUUUUGGAGGGAAUUGUGGAAAGUCCACCACCUUCCUGCACCAUCAGAUCAGUUCUCCCCGAGUUUUGUUCGUCUGCCUGUUAAUAAGAUAUUCACAUGCAUACUUCACUGGCAUGUGACUGUUUAUAUUUCCCAUUACAUUUGCAGUAUGCAGAAGAACCCUUCUGGUUAGUACUCAUGAAUUUGGUUCAACGAGUGGGUGUAUCCCUGACGGUUUAGAUUUGAUGAAGGAAAAAGGAGUUGACAGGAACACAUUUGAUGAAGACGACCAAUUCAUGUAAAAUAGGGUGUACUUAGUAUUAUGGUGUAUCAGGGGUAUUUUUGGUAGUUAAGUAGGGUGUACUUAGUUAAUUUUACAUUUUAAUUUAAAUAUUAGGGUGUACUUAUAUCAUAGAGUGUACUCAGUUAAUUUUAAAAUUCGUUGAACAGCACCCCACAAAAAAAAAACCAAAAAACUAAAGCGUGCUUCACAUCUUCAAUUAAAACAAAGAUAAGCUUAGUAUUUUCUUCUUUGUUGUAAUGUGAACUUGAUUAUGUAAUUUCUACUACUUGUACUUAUGGGCCAUAGCCAUUUAUCAAUUAUAAUUAUGUCAUUAAUUAGGAUUGAACAACAAAGUUGCUCAGAUGUUUACAUGCUUUAAUUACAAACGUAUGAUAGGUUUAGGAGAGUGGUACAUAGUUCCAAUUGUUCCUUUCACACAGACACAUCUUCAUUAUUUUACUGAGAAACCAUUUCUCUUAAGAAAAAUCUAUCGAUUUUACGUAGUUUUGACAGUUGCGGACGAUUCUUUUUAAUUUCGACCCUCUACAAACAAAUAAAUCAAAGAAAAAAGAAGAAGAGAAUAUUAAUUCAUAUAUUUCAAUUUCUUGUGUGAGGCUUUUAAAUUCAUUUCAACAUAAUAUCAAUAUAAGAUUAAGUUCGAUUUCCUUGAGCAUCAUCACUGAUCUGAUGGCAUCAUAUAAGUCUUUGAAUUACUGAAUGUGAUUGAUUGAUUGAAACGUAUUAAUACAAGAAUAAAGCUUGAAAGAUAGCUUCAUCCACAGCUUGAAAGAAUAAAGUUCGUUUUCCUUGAAAGAAUAAAGCUUGAAAGAUAACUUCAUCCACAGCUUGAAAGAAUAAAGUUCGAUUUCCUUGAGGCAUGAUGUGAUUCUUUCAAAAAUAGCUUCAUCCACAGCUUGGAAGAUAAAGAAUAAAGCCUUCUUGUCCUUCUUCCGAGUCUCCUUCAGUUUGAUGGUGGGAAUGGGAUUUGGCUAUGGGGUGCGGUCUAUGCAACCACCUCUUUGUCCCCUCUUGCUUCGUCUUCUUGGAGUUAGUUGUGGAAGAUCAAUCAUAGUAAUCCCAAUAAUCCGAAGCAUUAUGGUAACCAGGCCUAGAAGAGAGAUUUUGUAUGAGGCAAGGCCAUUGAAAAUCGUAAUGGAUACCAAAAUCAAUUAUGUGGAUCCUUGUUGCUUUCUCACCUACAUUCAUUAUUGUCUUAUUUGACAAGAAAUUUGAUAGCUUCUUAAAUGGACAAGUGGCAAGAUAAAGAUGGUCAGCUUUCUCUCAUCUUCAAAAUCAGGAUUUGCAGCCAUGGGAGGUGGGUUGAGGAAGGAAUAGAGCGUGGAGAGAAGAGAGAGAGAGAAGAGAGAGAGAUGCUUUUGCCCCUCAAUUUCACAGAACAAUUGACAGACUUUGACGGUAGGACCGUUUCGAUACUAAAUGGAGAAUUACAGGACUAUUGAAAUGAAAAUAUAUUUUUGUUUGUGAACCAAAAUAAAACUUGAGCAAUAGUUGGGGGACCAUUUCGGUCAAUAACUCAAUAAUUUACCCUUUGUCAAUAAGGGAGAGAGAAUUCAAACUUGGGACCUCUUAUAACAUUGGAAAGAGAAGUACCACCAAACCAAUAGCUAGUUGGUUGUACACAUUUAAAAUCACUAAAAUCACAACUCAAUCUACCCAAUUGUAAUGGAAAAAGAAAAAAAAAAAAAACCUUCUUGUUCAAGUUUAACAAUCCAAUAUUUACUAUUAAACAUUGUUACUAAUUUUUCCAUUGGUUAUCCAAUUGCACCUUCGCUGGGUGUUUUAAUGAAUUAAUUCUAAUAUAAUAUAUAGAAAUUAUUAAAAGAUAAAAUUUACAACUUCAUCAUUUAAAAUUUCAUUAUUUGGAUAUCAAUAAAUUAUUGAAAAUAAUUAGAAAUAAAAAUUAAGUGAUGGUUGUUAAUACCGAAUUUUUAUUACGGAAAUAUUUAUUAGAAUUAAAGAUUAAUAAUAGACAUUUUGAAUUGUUGAAACAUAAGACAAACUGAAUAUCCUACAAAUUAUUUGAGAUAUUAUGUUUAUUGAUCAAUACAUCAAGAAACUACCUAAGUAUGUCUCUGAUCAAUGUGUAUUAUCGAUAAUAUGUUUAUUGAUUAAAUGAUAAAUGUUUAUAGGAGAUGGAACCAAAGUUAUGAGAUGUUGAUAUAUGUGUUGACAGGGGCGGAGCUACAGCCAGGCCUGCCAUGGCCCUGGCCCCCCCCCCCCACUUAAUUAUUAAUCUCUUGUAAUAUAUUAUAAAAUAUAUGAUAUAGCAAUACAAUUACUGCAAUUAGAUUAGUGAUGGCCCUCCUAGUUGAAGAUGAAAAACCUAGUAGAAGUGAUUUUGAAAUUUUGGCCCAUCCAUACUAAGAAUCCUAGCUCCGCCACUGUGUGUUGAGAAUUUUGUUAGAAUAUGCAUGGAUUGAACUAUUAUUGUUUAUCUGGCUUGACAAAUCUCCAUGUCAAUUAUUCUCACUGGUCUUGUAAUAAUCACGGACCCGAGAACUUCUUGGAUCAUGAAAGUAAUGCAUGAAUGCAUCAAGUAAUCUAGAUUGGAAUAGUAAAACAAAAGAAGCACAACUUUUAUUCCCACGGAUAGUCUUAGCUAGGUUACAUAAAUUAAUGCAUGAGCAGCAGCUGCAUGCAAUAUUAUUGAAACCCAAAUCACAACAUAAGGAAAACUUAAGAAAAUGCCACUUUCGCAGGGAACGCGAUUGCAUUUAGCGUAUGCAAUAAGCCUUUUAAACCUAUAGGUGACCCUGAUAGGACGAGUGAAGUCUCGUGAGGGUUUCCAGCGACGCUACCCACAAACAUCAAAUUAACUUAACAGGAUGAUCAUCCUGGAAGUUUUUCGACAGUGAAGGCAGGGGUACUGGUGGGUUUUGCAUUUGCGGCAGCGAGGGCAUCAUCCUCGAAGUCGGUUCCAGAUUUUGGCUCUGUAAGGUUUCCCAAUCGCACGUGGACGAACUGGUAUACGCCGUCGACGUACGGUGCCGGUUUUUGCAAAACAACAGGCUUGAAGAGUGUACAUGACCACAGGUUUUUAUUUGGCUGUUUCUCGUCAGCCUCGGCCACAAUCCACGGACUGUCUUCGCUUGCCGUUCUCAGGUAUUUGUCGCUGUAGGUGGAUUUCAUAUGCACCAGACUGGGUUGGUUUACGUCCUUCUCCGCUUUGAACCUUGCGUAUUUGCUGUGACUUUCCUCUCCGGAGCAUUCGAGCCUAUUUGGCAGCUCUGCGGUGGAUUGGUCUUUGAAGACCACGUAUUUCUGGUUCUUGGCUGAUUUAAGAGCAAAAAACUUUGGUAAGUCUGCCAUUUCUGAUGAUCUCUCUCUCUCUCUCUCUCUCGUUGCUUAUUGCUUUUCCUAGCUACAACCUGCUGUGCUAUUUAUAAUCAAGCAAACCCAAACCAUGCAUGCAGCUUUCACUUAUUUUUCUUGCUGUACUGGCCUGCCAUAACAGAGAAAAUUAUAUCCACAAAAAUCGUGCUGUUAAAGGAACAAAUUAACUUAAUACACCAUCCUACCAAACAAUUUAUUAAAUUACUAAUUUACCCUAAUAUAAAAUAAAUUGUGAAACAAAAGUAAUUUUAGUAAGUACACCCUACUCAAUACACCCUAAUCAAAUUAGAAUUUUAGAGUUUAAUUCCAAACUGAUUUGAGAUAAAAAUUCAAAGUUUUUGUCGGGUGUAAAAUUUUUUUUUUUUCUAUCGCUUCCAUAAUUCCUGACAUCAUCAAACAGCGUGAAAGCAACUUAAAUAUAUUAUUUCAUUUUGAUCGGCAAGGCUGGCCAAGUUUUAUGAACUUUUGGCGGGAAUUGUGGAAAGUCCACCACCCGAGUUUUGUUCUUCGUGUCUGCCUGUUAAUAAGAUAUUUACAUGCAUACUUCACCUUAUAUAUAUUUAAUUCACUGACAUGUGACUGUUUAUAUUUUCCAUUAUAUUUGCAGCAUACAGAAGAACCCUCAAGACAGAUCAUCAUCUUUAAACCUUCUGGUUAGUACUCAUGAAUUUGGUUCAAUGAGUGGGUGAAUCCCUGACGGUUUAGAUUUGAUGAAGGGAAAAGGAGUUGACAGGGACAUAUUUGAUGAAGACAACCAAUUCAUGUAAAAUAGGGUGUACUUAGUAUUAUGGUGUAUCAGGGGUAUUUUGGUAGUUAAGUAGGGUGUACUUAGUUAAUUUUACAUUUUGAUUUAAAUAUUAGAGUGUACUUAUAUCAUAGAGUGUUCUAAGUUAAUUUUAGAAUUCGUUGAACAACACCUCACCAAAAAAAAAAAAAAAAAAAAAAAACUAAAGCGUGCUUCACAUCUUCAAAUAAAACAAAGAUAAGCUUAGUAUUAUCUUCUUUGUUGUAAUGUGAACUUGAUCAUGUAAUUUCUACUACUUAUACUUAUGGGCCAUAGCCAUUUAUCAAUUAUAAUUAUGUCAUUAAUUAGGAUUGAACAACAAAGUUGUUGAGAUGUUUACACACUAUAAUUACAGACGUGUGAUGGACUCAAGAUUCGAAUCUCGUAGGGUCAUAAUAUAAAUGUUCCAAAGAAAAUUUAAGAAUGAGUUACUUUUCUCAUCUAUUUUUUAUAUUCCAAAUUUUAUUUCUUUCUUGGAAAAUAUACUUUGAAUGAUUUCAAUUUGUCAUUUUUUUAUAUAUGUUUUUGAGUGAUUUCAAGUUGUAAAAUUUCAAAGCAAACCUAUGCCAAUUAACCAAAAAACAAAAAAACUACAACCACCUAAUCAACAAAUAAGCAAAAACUUCAUACAUAUAAAUCAUUAAUUUCAUCCAUGCAAUUACAGAUUUGAUUUCCAUUAAAUUAAAAACAGCACACAUCAUCCUUAUUUUGAUUUUAAGAUUUAGAAAUAACUUGAAAUGAGAAAUAUCACAAUAAGAAUAAUAGGAGGUGGUGAUUGGGGAGCUUGGGGUUUGGAUCUGAGAAAAGAAUAACAGCAACUGGGAGAUGGGAAGGGUUUUUGGGAUGGGAUGGUUGGCUGGGUCGGGUGGUCAGUGGAAGGAUACGGAAGGCAUUUUUAUUUUAAAAUUUUCCCAGGGCCAAAACGACGUCGUUUGGCCCAUGGUGUUUAAAAAAAAACAGAGUGCUUCUUCUUCCUGCUGCACGAGGCUUCCUCCCUCUUCCUGUGAGGCAAAACAUCAAACCCUUGGAGGGCAAUUCAAGGGGUCUCACAGCCAGCUCAAGUGGACUUCCAAGCGUACUUCCAUGGUUUCCAUGGGGUCGUUUGACCCCAGUGACCCCAUUGUGGGUCCGUCCAUUGAUAGAUUUAGGAGAGUGGUAUGUAGUUCCAAUUGUUCCUUUCACACAGACACAUCUUCAUUAUUUUACUGGGAAAACCAUUUCUCUUAAGCAAAAUCUGUCGAUUAUGGGUUUGACAGUUGCGGACGAUUAUUUUUAAUUUCGACCUUCUACAAACAAAUAAAUCAAGGAAAAAAAAGAAGAACAGAAUAUUAAUUCAUAUAUUUCAAUUUCUUGUGUGAAGCUUUUAAAUUCAUUUCAACAUAAUAUCAAUAAGAUUAAGUUCGAUUUCCUUGAGCAUCAUCACUGAUCUGAUGGCAUUAGAUAAGUCUUUGAAUUACUGAACGUGAUUGAUUGAUUGGCAAGUAUCCUUAAUACAAGAAUAAAGCUUGAAAGAUAGAUUCAUCCACAGCUUGAAAGAACAAAGUUCGAUUUUCUUGAAAGAAUAAAGCUUGAAAGAUAGCUUCAUCCAUGGCUUGAAAGAUAGCUUCAUACAUAGCCUGAAAGAAUAAAGUAAGAAUAAAGUUCGAUUUCCUUGAAAGAAUAAAGCUUGAAAGAUAGCUUCAUCCACAACUUGAAAGAAUAAAGUUCAAUUUCCUUGAGCAUCAUCACAGAUCUGCUGUAGUGCAUGAUGAGAUUCUUUAAAAAAUAACUUCAUCCACAGCUUGAAAGAUAAAGAAUAAAGCCUUCUUGUCUUUGUUCCAGUCUCCUUCAGCUCAGCUCAGUGAGUUGUUGUUGAGUGAUGAGGUGUAAUAUUAAUAACUGACACAAAUUAAUUUGCUAAUCAUCCAAUUACAAAUACCUGCAAGUGUACAAAUUUAUUGGGGUAUAGAUUUGUAAGUACGGGGUUGAUCCCAUGAGGAACUGCCGGCUUAUACAAAGUUAUAAUUUGAGCACGUAAAGAAUAUUUAUUUAACACAACACAAAAGUAAGAACAAAUUGGAAAUUAUGAAUGAGUAAAGAAAAGUAAGAGAAAUGAAACAAAACUAGAAACCCAAAAUAAACACAAUCAGGAAUGUCUAUCACCAUUUUAUCACCUCACCACGGUAUCGCCUGUUUAUCACCUAAUGGACAGUGGGUCGUUUUGAAGUAGACUGAGAAUUCCCCUGUUUUCAGCUUCGACCUCUGUUCAAUUUUUACUUAUAACUUUCCAACUGUUUAUCCAAAGGUAACACCCCCGACCCAAUUUAAUUGUUUUAUUCAAUUUAUCUAUUUGUGAAAUUACAAUUUUGCCCUUAGGGGUAAGAACACUUUGGUCACUUUUUGAUCCUACAGGAUUUUAGGGAAUUGAGUGGCACUGUUGCUUAGGGCUCGCUCUUAUGAUUGCGUAGACAGGCGGCACGCAAAAUUCUGAGUUAUAAUGAACAUGUAAAGGUCUAGAAACCAAAAGGACGAAAUAUUAAAUUUUAAAUUUGUUACUAUAUAUAGCUAUAAUGCCCCUUUAGUGCUAUAGUGCCGGCCUCUCUUAUUUCUCUUAUUCUCCCUCGCGAUAUAACCAGAUUUUCUGGGUUUUUUUCAUCCCCUCCUGACGCGAAAGUAGCGCCACCACUUCUGUCUUUUUUUUUUCCGCCGCCGUCUUGUCCUGGUUGCCAUUGCAACCUUCACGAAAAAGGGUUAAGUUUUUCCGGCAGUGUUCUUGCAUUUUCAGGCUAUUUCGGCGAUGGUUUUUGUCGAGUGAGGUAUGAAACUUCAUCUACUCUUCGUGCUUUAUCCGGUUAUGUAGGUAUUAUAGAUCAAUUUUGAGGUUUUAUAGUUCGUUCAAUAUACCCAUUUUUUGUCGACGUUUUCAGCUCCAUCCCGGCUAGUUAUGGCUAGUUUUUGGCCAUGGUCCGAGAAUAAAAGUCACUCCCCUUGUUAGUCUGAACGUAUUGCUAUAGGUAUUGUAGGGUGUUAUUGUUAACGUAUGCAUUUUGAGUUUUUUCUUUUAGCUUCCAUUGAUAAUUUUGUAAUAGGAUAAUCAUUGUAGUUUUCCAAGCUCUAAGUUUAGAUUAAGAAUUACUUCUCUAGGUGUUCUUAUCUACCUAUAUUCUGAUGGAAAACAAUGCGUUUGGCAAAGGUAAAUUUUGCAUUACACUACAUUGCAUUCACUAAUUUAUGAAGAUUAUGACUCACUACAAGGAAAAACCCUUUUGGCGACCACCACUUUUCGUCGCUAAAAGGUCAAAUUUCGUCUCCAAAACAAUUUGGCGACCAAAUUAUUUCGUCGCUAAGGUCGUCGCCUUAGCCUCGUGGCUAAAAGUACCAGGCGACCAAAGCUAAUUUUCGUCGCCAAAUUAUUUAAGCGACCAAAUAGUUUCGUCGCCUAAUAGACUUCAUUUGGUCGCCUAUGAAGGUAGCCUCCCACCAAAAGACCGAAAAUUAGCGCGUACUUAAAAGGGAUUGGGCGACCAAAUGUAAUGUUCGUUGCCAAUAGGUCUAAGAGAUUUCGUCGCUGAAGCUACUUCUUUCGUCUCUAAAAUGUGUUUUUUUAUUUUUAUUUUUUUGUCAAUUAAAAAGAAUGGAGAGUUUCUCAAAAACAAUAAAUAAACAUAUUGUAAUUUCAGAAAACAACAAAUUUAGGAAAGCAAAAUCAAUUGAAAAUGAUAUAAAUAAAGUUGUAAACAUUCUGAGGCACACAAGCAUACUAGUCAUUUAAGUACACAUAAAUUUCGUACCCUAUAUCCAAAAACUAGAAGCAUAAAUGAAUGAAGAACACUCAAAGACUAGAGUCCAGGUUCACCAAAAAAUAAAAAUAAAAACUAGAGACCAGGCUCCGAAUUUUCUUUCCCUUUGUAACCCCAAGUUAUGCACUCAUUUUCUCCACAUGAAGACUAGAGACCAAGCUUGUGGGAUAUGUACCGUGACAUGAACUCAUACUCUACCAAUUGUUGCUUCAGCUUCUCAAACUCAUUCAUCAUCUGCCUCUACAAAAGAAACAAAAUAAAGCAAUGUCAAAUAUGUAUAUACAGAGUAACACAAAAGACAAAUUGGUAUUAAUGUGGUACAUCUUUGAUCUGCUCUAUCACUUUCCUUUUAUUGCUAUAUAUGCAGAUACACAAAAGCACAAACAAGCCCAAUUUAAAAUCUCCUACUUACGUAUCAAGAAAAAACAAACUUAAACCCAAAGCAGACUAAUUUUCUUAUAAAAAUAGAGUGCAUUGUUUUUCAUCUCAAUUUCAUUUGCAACUUAUAACUCACAUGGUAUCCAAAAUUUCAGGCAGUGCAUGACAACUCAAUCAAGUUAACUUCAGAAAAAUGAGAGAACAAUAUAUAAUCAAUGAAAGAAUUAUUGACAGAGGCUGAUCAAGGAGUUUCUUAGGGAAAUUUCAAGUCGAAUGCAAAUAGCUGGAAGAAAAAGAAAUCAGGCAAUGAAAUUGGAAAAUUAAUUCAUGUCAGCUAAUCUGAAGACUGUAGCAUAUGGAGAAUAUAAGAUAUCGUCAUAUAUAGGAAUAUAAUUCAUCAAAAGCAAGCACUUGGUAAACUAGGAUAAGUAUCACAGAAGUAAUGAAUGUACCCUUGCUUUUCUUUUAGCCAUUUGUCAAUGCAUUCCAUAUGAAAUUCAUCACAACACAGGAGAACUCUUAUUUUAUCUCCUCCAUCAUACUCAGCCAAGCAAAUUAACACAUGCUCAUAGGAUCAACAUCAGAAAAACUCUCUUGAACAACAACAGACUUAAUUAGAAUUAAAACAUUGCUACAUAAAAAAAUAUUUUUAAAAUGGGGAUACAAUAUGUAUAGAUACUUUCAAGUUUGAACCAGUAAAUCCUCAAUCUAUGAGUCAAAAUAAAUCAUGUUGAAUGAGGACUGAAGUUGUAUAAAAAGGUAAUUUGAGGUUGGAAUGAACACUGAGAAAUGAUGUUGCUGAGCUACUCUACCUUUCAGUUGUUUUUCCAUUUUAUUUGAGUUAAACUAAUUUGGUCCCUGAAUUAGAUAUUUAUUUGGACCACUGAAUAAGUUCAAAUUAAACUUUUAAUAGAUAUGGCCCCAAAUUAGGGCCCAAUCCAGAACACAGUUUGUUCAUGGAGCUGGCCUUAGUAUAGAUAUUCAACACAGACUAGUCAACUAGAGACACCACAGAGGUAUGCAAUACAAUUUACUUGCAUUCAAUUUCUACACAAAACUAACCUUUUAGAUUGAUAUAGCCAUUCAUUGCAAACUGAAAUUUCAUAGCCAUGAGAAUACAAAUAGAUAGUAGCAAACAGUUUCAUGUGGAUAAUGAUAACAAUAUUUUGAAGCAAAUAUACCUCUUAACCAAAAAGCAAGAUUUUUAGCUAUCCAUACCUCUUGACAGAAUAUAGCCUCUUAAGCAAGUAUUUCAAACUGAAACCUAAAGCAAAACAUAAAACAAACUCUGUUAGACACCAUAAAAUUUAAAAAAACAGCAGAAAUAGUACAAAACAGUUAAUUUUCGUAAUCUAUGCCAAUACCAUGGCCUGCUGCUAACCAAAUCCCUAAGAAGACCCAUCAGUUUCUCAUAAUCCUGGAGACUCAAAAUUAACCAAAAACUUCUCCAAGAAUGUUACUUAACGAACAUACUCUUCUAAAAUUGCUGACUAGCAAAGAAAUCCUCUCAUUUAAGUUAAUUGAGAAAACAAAAAGGAUCCCACUAGAGAACAAGCAAUGUACAUAUGAUUUUCAAGUGUAGAACACUAUAAUCAUUUAAAAAGUACCAAAAAAAUUGAAGCAGCUAGAUAAUUGAUUUUACAAAAGAAAAACAUAGCAAAAGACUUAAUUUUGGGAGAGGUUGAGACCAAAUUAGUCUCCAGACUCAAAAUAGUCUAAACCUCUGCCCUUAAUUUCAAUGAACAUCACAAUCGAAAACAUAAAAACAUAACACUAUAAAAACAAGAUUAUUUUUUUGCUUAUUAAUCCAAACCAUCAUAAUGAAAGCAAUCAUAAAAGGGGCAAAUAUCCAAGGUAAAGCCCCAACAUAAAACCACAUAGCCUUACAUCUUCUGUCAAAAUUAGUAGCAUAUAUUCAGCUUUCAACAUAAUGCCAAGCAACAGACUCAAGGUUAGACAUGAAGGAAUAAGCACAUAUUACUUAUCAACUUUCUAUAUAGAAUCAACAUGUGUAGUAUCAAGAACAAAACUUUAAGAAGACAAGGAGUUUCCCUCUUUUCGGCAAGGCCAAUUCCCAUAUUUUAUCAUGCAUUCACAGAAGUAGCAUAUUUUCCUGAUUCUGAAACAGAAAUCUCACCGUCAUUUUUUAACAAACAAUGAAUUUCUCAUGUGUGUGAGAGAGAUAACAGAAUCAGGGUUCAUUUGUAAGUGCCAGAUCAAAAUAUGGCAAACCCAAAACUCAAAACUAAAAAAUUCAAAGAAACUGGCAUUCAUACCUAAAGAGAGGCAAUAGAAGAGGGAAAUGGCUGAGGAGAUUCUAGAGAUUCAAGAAAAUUAGGGUCAGAGAGAUGGUGUCCAUACCUGAAGAGAGGCAGCAGAAGAAGCAAGUGGCUGAGGAGAUUCUAGAAAAUUAGGGGCAGAGAGAGGGGGGAAAUAAGUAACUCAUGCCAAGAGAAAUCAUAGGGGAAGAGAGUUUCUAUAUGACUAGUCGUCGUCGGUGGACAAUUGUUCUGCCGACGCCGGAGUAACGGUGGUGUGCGCGAUGCUGAGAGGAGGUAUAGAGAAGUGAAUUGGGCAGAGAGAGGAGGGUUCGGAAAGGAGAUUUUUUUUAUUUUUAAUUUAAGUCUCCAGAAUCAGCCACAAAAACGUUUGGUGGCCAAACAGCAAGGUCAGUAAAAAUGACGUAGUUUUUAAUAGGCCUGGGCACGGUUCGGGUCGGGUCAAAUUUUGGCCGACCCGCGAGCCAAACCGAAGGAGAGCUCGGUUCUCGGGUCGGGUCGGGUCUAGGAUGAAACCCGAAAAUGAGCCGAACCGAAAAUGGGCUCGGGUCUCGGGUCGGUUCUGGCUUCUUCUCGGUUUGGGCUUGGGCCCAUUUUUUCAAUUUUCCAAAAGCCCAAAUCUUAUUUAUUUUCGGCCAAAAAAAGCCCAAAUCAUAUUUUUUUUAGUAAAACAAAGCCCAAAUCCGAUUUCCUUUCAGCCAAAACCCUUUUUUUUGUUGUCAAAUUGCCAAAACCUAUUAAAUUCUUAUGAACAAGCCCAAAACACUUUUUACUUCUCUUUCAAAACCUGAAAUUAUGUAAAUUCAAGCUAUAAAAAUCCAUCAUUCCAAUCUAAGUUUCUAAACUAAAUAAAUCUCACAUACACACAUUCAAUUCAACCAACCAACCAAGGAAAGGAAAUAUAAUCUCUUACAAACCAUUACAAAAAAUAAUACACAAACCAAAUUAAACUUAUGACAUUAAAGAUUACAACCCAUCACAAAAAUACACAUAGAGAUAAUAUCCUUGCAAAAAAUCUGCUGCAUCCAUUCUUCCAAAAGCCUUCACAAAGCAACCUACACAACACUUAAAAGAAUUAACACAAAGUUUCACCAUCAACAAAUCAUAAUUAAAAUAAGAUGCAAUAAAAAUACCUUCCAACAUAUCUUAAUCACACUAAGAAGGGAGAGUCUUAUGCAAAUUUGUCAUGGAUGUUUUACUCCCCAUUUCUACAAAAUAUAAUAAAAUAAAUCAAACCAAUUUGAGUUAGAACACAUAAAAAUAAGAAAAAAAACACAUUUAAACUGUCAAAACAGAUUUUCCUAUGCAUACAACUCCCUAAACAUAUAUCCUAUCCAAAAAUCAGAUUACAAAAACAGAUUACAAACACAGAUUGCAAACACAGAUUUAAAUAGAUUACAAACACAGAUUUAAACAAAAACAUAUUACAAACACAGAUUUAAACAAAAACAGAUUAUAAAAACAGAUUACAAAAACAGAUUACAAAAACAGAUUAUAAAAACAGAUUACAAAAACAGAUUACAAAAACAGAUUACAAACACAGAUUGCAAACACAGAUUUAAACAGAUUACAAACACAGAUUUAUACAGAUUACAUAAACAGAUUUAAACAUAUUACAAAAACAGAUUUAUACAGAUUACAGAAACAGAUUUAAAGAGAUUAGCAGCAGCAACGAAUAUUUACCUCCAUUUAAGCAAAAUUUUCCAAACUUUCAAAGCUCAGAAUACCAGCAGCAGCAGCAUGAGGCAGCAGGCGGCAGCAGGCGGCAGCAGCAGCAGCAGCAGCAGGCAGCAGGCAGCAGCAGCAGCAGUGACGCUAAACAACUGUGAAUGAAAUCAAAAAAAGGGCUAGGUUACAAACAAGCUUCAUUUGUUCCAUAAACAAGCUUCACUCAAAACAGCAACAGCAAAGAUAGAUAUACAUUACAAAAAGUAAAUCAUAUGGGGACACAAAUGAAAGACUGAAAUGAACUUAAGUGCAAUAAAAUAGGGUCCAACAGAAAAGUAUGAAUCAAAAGAGAGCAGCAUAGAAAAGCAUAAACGAAAUCAAACAAGAAUGUUCCAUCCACAUAUCAUAUUGGCCACCACAGUUUUUGCAUCACAUGUAGCAAUCAUCAUUGAGCAUAUGAUUUUCAAGAAAAAGAAAGAUGAAACUGUAGCAAGGAAAGAAAUGAAAUUAUUUUCGAGUUAUCAAUUUUAGAAUAGUUGCAAGUUCAAGGAAAAAAAAAUUUGGUUCAGUUCUAAGACAAUGCAGGAAAAGAAAGAAACUACAAGCUUGGACUAUCAGAAACUUUAUUCUUUUGAACCUUAAAAACUGAAAAUUAGUCAGCGAGAACUAAUAAAUCUAUUCGGCAUGGUUGAAAUGAGCUUCACUUUCUAGAAAUUAAAUAUUUUUAAAUCUUGGAUUUUCCAGGCAACCAAGCAGAAUUCAAUCCUUCACUUUGAAUAGAAUAGACUCUCAAAUUCCUGAUUUCAAACAACACUACAUCUUUCUAUAAACUGAACUAAGUCAACUGGCUGACUAAGAACUUCAAAUCUUUAACACAACUACAGAAAGCGCCGAAACCAGUGGCCCUCUGAAAAUUGUGAAAGAAUAAAACAUACUCAUAUCAAAGAAAAGCCACAAAAAUUGCUUGCACAUUAAAUACCAAAAAUCCAUACAUCGAAAGUAAAGCCAUGUGGAGCUGAUGAUAUAAAAAUAUGUAAUUCUAAUGCACACAUUCAAUUUUAAGCCACAAAUAGAGAUUGAGACAGAAAUAUUUAUACCUUCAAUUUUGCCUAUUAAUCCAAACCCACAGAGACUAAGCACAACUACUGCAAAAUUAAGAACAAAUUGUGUUAAUUACAACAGAAUACCAAAAUUUCAAAACCCUAAUAAUCUACUAAAUUAGGGAAAAUGAAAACAACUAAGAAUUCAAACCAAAUACAUACAAAUUACCUUAGAAUGAACCAGAGCCCUCCAGAAUUUACAAGGAUUCGCUCCAAAAACCAAUAAAAUUGGAUGAUGUUUGGUUCGGUUUGGAGAAAGAGAAUGAGUCUCGCGCGACUCUAAGAGACUUAAAGAUGUGAAGAGUGAGAGAGAGCCAAGGGACGAGUCGAGAGAGAGACAGAGAGCCAAGGGACGGCGGCCGAUGAGGUGAGGGUUAGUCUCAGAUCAGAUCGGGAGAGAAAUAGUAGGGUUGAGUUUCGUGAGUUUCGUGAGUUUCGUGAGUGAGAGAGAGAGAGAAAGAGACGGCCGAGUGAGUAAGAGAGAGUCUGAGAGGGUUAUUGAAAAAAUAAUAAACAAAUAAUUGAGAGAGGUUCUAAUAUAGUGCAAGCAGACCCACCCAAAGUUCUUAUUUAAGCCAAUGAGACAACGCCAUGUGUCAAAUGCAUAUAUAAUUAAAUAAUGGUCGGUUCGGUUCAGGUCCACCGGUUCAAAAAAUUUUAGACCCGAAGGCUGAACCGAAGUCAACGGUUCGGUUCAGGUCCAGCGUUGACUUUUUCGGUUUGGUCAAAAAAACCUUAUUUUUCGGUUUGGUUUGGUUUGGUUCGGUCGGUUUGAUCGGUUUAUCGGUUUUUAUGCCCACCCCUAGUUUUUAAAAUUUCAAUUCGUAAAACCUCUUAUUGGCGACGAAAAUAUAUUAGUCGCAAACCUCAUGAAAUAUUUAGGCGCGAGUUUUCUUUUCGAGACCAUUCUGGCAAAUUUGGCAACCAAUCAUUUUCGUUGCCCCUAAUUUUUCAUUUUUCUGUGCGCACCAUUUCAAAAAAUGGCGACCAAACACAUGUUUGGUCGCCAAAUUGUCAGCUGGCCACAAAAAAUUUCGGUUGCCUUUGAAUAAUAGUUGGUCGCCAUUCCGUUCGCUGAAGUCUUAUAGUUAACGAAACCUUUGGCGACCAAAUUGCAUAAUUUUGUCGCCCAUAAGCUUCUUUUGGCGACCAAAAUUUGGUUGGUCGCAGGGAAUUUGGUCGCGAAAAAGUUUUUUCUUGUAGUGACUAGUCAUCUUGCAUUCGUAUGACUAGUCAACCUUUGUUUCAAUUAGGAUUUCCAGCUCACUGUUUCUAGCUGGAGUUUAACCAUUUUUUUGUCAUUUUCUUUGAAUUUCUCAGCUACCAUGUGUCUAUUCUCACCUAGGAAUUUUUGGUAAAAGCCAAAGAAUUCCUCAUUUGGCAGCUAUCACUUUUGUAGGCAAGUUUUGGAAAAUUUUUCUGUAAACUUUCUCUUCUUCCUCAAGUGUAACCUUCAUAUUUUUCAUCUUUGAAUUUUCCAAAAUGUUUCUUUUUGAAAACUACAUUUGAAAUAUGAAAACCUCAUUUUGCUAGAUCAAACACUCUCUCAUAUAUAUCUAGGUCAGAUUCAAGAUUGAUUUCUUCAAGAGUAUGGUUUCUUGAAGAAAUUGGUCAUUCUCCUUUGAAUCUAAAUUUUGGUUUCUGUCUGAGUUGGAGCUUGCAAGCUGGUGCCAUGGGAUGAAUGAGCUGGAGAAGGAGCUGCCAUUGCCAUGAAGAACUGAGCUUCAAGCUUUGCUAAGUUGGAGAAGAAGAUUGCACAAAGGAGGCAUAGCUCAUCUUCCUAAAUAGAUCUAGGUUUUUCUUGAGCUUGCUUGUGUUCCUUUGUAAGAAUCUUUCCCCAGUUUUCCCAAUGGUGGGUUUCUGGGUGAACAAUUUUUGAUUGCAUCUCUGUAAUUUUUCUGUGUUUCUGUUCUUGGUGGUUGACUAGUCAUCGUAUGAAUUCUGGGUUUGUGUUCUUGAUGGUUGACUAGUCAUCAUAUGAAUUGUGGUUGACUAGUCAUCGUAUGAAUUCCGAGUUUGUGUUCUUAGUGGUUGACUAGUCAUUGUAUGAAUUCUGGGUUUGUGUCCUUAUAGUUGACUAGUCAUCAUUAUCUGCUAUUUGGUGUUUACUUGAUUAUGAUGAUUUCACACAUUUUCACCAUAGUUAUUGCUAGCACAGGGGAUGCCUAGAUUGACGGGUCCUUAUGAGUGCCUAGGUUGUCACUAGUAAUCUUCUAGGGUUGCAGGUACAUUGUGGCAUGCUCUGUGUGUGUUCUUGAUUGUGGUUGUUCAUGCCUAGCAGUUGACUAGUCAUAAGUGUACUUGGUCAAGGUCUAAAGUGUGUGAAGAUUGUUGCGUUUUGUUUAAGUGUCGAAAAAGUUACCCCUUGUCACCUAAGUACCAAUUUCAAUUGGUAUUAGAGCACCAGCUCUUAACAAUUGGUAUUAGGUGUGCAAACAUAAAAAUGGAUCAAAUUGCUCCUUGCAUUCAUGAUGAGCUUGCCUUGUUUGUUAAGAAUUAUAGAAGGGUUGUCAAAGAUAAAACCAAAGUCACUAGGAAUUGUCAGAAUCUUCCUAGUUCGUCUACAUGUGUGUCUCAAGACAAUGUUUUUAAGAGAAUGAAUUUUUUGGACACUUAUGGCUUUAGGGAGAACAAAAGUUUGAAGGGUCUUGUAAAGUGCUAUCUAUGUAGUGGUGCUGGUCACAUUGAUGUGGAAUGUGCAAAUAACGACAUGACAGAGUCUAGAGAAGAGUCAAUUAGUGCACAAUGGAGUGAUAAUGAUAGUAACGAUUCCAAUAACUAUCUCACUUCAUCUUAUGAAGACGCAAAUAAUUUUGCCCUUGUUGGUUCUGUUCAUAACUCUAGCCUUGCUAGAGUUCAUGUAGUUAAGGAAGGAAAAUCUGAUUCAGGAAAUGAAUAUGUGUCUAGAGAUGAUAGGCAGGAUAACCAGUCAUACAGGGAACAUGAUGACCAGUCAUACAAGGAACAAGAUGACCAGUCAUACUUGGGUAUGUGUGAAAAGUAUGAUGUCAUUUUUACUGAAACUUUCAAGCUUAAGGAAAGAAAUCUCUUACUUGAAGGGAAGGUAAAGAACCUGGAAAUUCUUAAUUGCACUUUGAAAGAAGCAAAUAAUGAAUUGAGUGAAAAUGUUGAACCUUGGAGAGUGAAAGGGAUUCAUUGAUUGCCAUUAAAAAUGACAUUUCAAACCAAGUGAAUGUGCUCAAGGAAAACAACUUGAUUUUCCAAGCCUCCAACAAGAAUUUGUUAACUCAGAUAAAUGAGGCAAAUGACAUGGUGAUCAAGCUUACCAUAGGGGCUAAAAAAGUGGAUAAAAUGUUGAAUAUGGGUAAGGUUCAUGAAGACAAAACUGGUUUUGGUUAUGGUUGUUUUAGUUUAUGUGUUCCUCCUCCUUUGACCACAUUUGUCAAGGAGUCAAAUACAAAGUUUGAUGUUUUAGAGCCAACUAGGACUCAAAGAUUCAUUCCUACUUGUCACCAUUGUGGUGUGAAAGGUCACAUUCGACCUAGGUGUAAUGCUCUAAGGAAUGUGUCUAGAGCAACCAAUGCAAAUGGCUUUAAGAACCAUGUUUCAUCUCUUAAAACAUGUGAGCUUGCAAAAUCUGUUCUUUGUAAAAGGAAUAAACAUUCUUCACUUGCAAAAUUUGGUUUCCCAAAACCAAAAAGGUUCAUUCCUACUUGCCAUCAUUGUGGCACAUUACUACACAUAAGACCAAAGUGUUUUGAGCUUAGGAAUUUUGAGAAAAAGUCUUUUGUUCAUUUCAAGAAAGUAAAUGAUGACUCACUUCAAACUCAAGUGAAUGAUCUUCUUUAUAAAGUUGUCAAAAUUCCUAAGUUGAUCUCUUUACCUCAUAAAGUUUCAAAAGUGAAGCAAGUUUGGGUCAAGAAGGAAGACCAUGUUCUUCUUCAUAUUAGUUACUAGUUUAUUCGUGUUAUGUAUCUAGACCAUUCUCUUGUUUAUGUGUGCUUCGUGGAGUCUAGAUACAUUGUCAUGUAUGUGCAUUUUACUUGUUAUUUUCUUUAUUUUGGUCUCACAAUUUCACCUUGUGCACAUCAUUCAUCUCUCACAGUACUUUGGAUAUCAUAUUCCUUCAAACUUCAUGAUGUGUGAAAUCUUGUAGAUGUUUGACUAAUUGACUUAAGGUAUUUUCUUACAUAAGAGAUCUUGGUGAAAAUAAUGUCUUGAAAUUUGUGCAUAUUAAGAAGCAACUAGCUGUUUUUAACUCUCAACUGCUAGAUACUUGAAGGUAUUGAUUUCCUUCAAAGAUCUAUUAGGUUGUCCAAAAUGGAUUAACUUGUGUUUUCAAUUUCAUGUGCUUACAAUCUGAAUUUCCAUUUUGUUUGUGUUAAAAAAAAAAAAUUUGCAUGUAAGCUCUCUUCUCUCAAAAUGCAUGAUUCUUAUGAGUGGGAGUCUUUUCAUGAUGUUGUAGGUGUGAAAGAGUUUUCCCCAUUCUUGUCUAUAAUUUUGAGCUUUUUUGUUGAAUAUACUUGUGUUGCAUGAUAUGCUUUGAGCUAUCUAUAAAGUGUCUAAGAUCACUUCUAGUUGUCUUUCUACCUUGAUCUUUUGAUCCAUUUGGAAAUCAAAAUGCAAAUAAAUUGUUGGAGUAAAAGCCUUGGAAAAGCAUUGUCCACAAAUAUAGAAAAAGCAUUUUCGGACAAGCAAGUGUGCUAUACUUAUUUUUUUAAAAGGUAAAAGCGCUUGGAAGAGCAUUGUACACCAACAAAUAGAAAAGCAAAAUUGUACAAGCAAGUGUGUGCUAUGCCUUUCUAAAAUAUUGAUAAAUGUCAACUUUUGGAUCACAUUUCUUGGUAGGGUUUAUGCCUUGAUUUCUAGAACUUAUAUUAGAUUUGAUGCUUGGAAAGUCUCAUGCAACUCUUGGAAAUCAUUACUGAAGCUCAUAUUGAAUUAGACCUCCUUUUUCCCAAACUCCUACUCUAUGCUUGAUGAGAGGUUCUAACUUAUGUAUCUCAUUGAUUUUGGGAAUUGAGUGCUUACAUUGCUUUGGCAUGUUAUUCUUUGUAGUUCAACUAUUUCCCACUUGUGUUUUUCCAAAUAACCUAAGCACAUGUUAUGGAGAUGCAUGUUGUUCUAUUGCAUGACGUUUUUCUAAUCCAAAUUAUAGUUGCUUCCAUCUCAAUAUGGCUUAUUAUGCUUUGAUAUCUCUUUGUAUGCUAUGCUUUGGGUCAAUGUGUUUCAUGCUAGCUUUCUGGAAAUCAUUUCUGCCUCGCAUGACUAGUCAUCCAAUCUAGCAUUCUUUGUGUCUCACUGAUUCAUUAUUGGUUGCAUUUUUGUUGUGUUAUUUGUUGUGCUUAAGGGGACUCUACACUUUAUGCAUUCGAGCACUUUUCUUUUGAUGUGGUUUGGACUGUUUUGAGUCUUAUUGUAUGCAUUUGUGACCAUACUUUGGAGUCAUUGACUACUUGGUAGUCUUUCUUGUAUCUCUUUGGCUAUGAUAAUCCGUACUUUGCUUUAGCAAAGCUUCUUCAUUGACAUGUCAUGGGUUUGGUCACACAAUUGAGAAUUCUGUGAGUUUUCUUGUUUAAGUAAUGUUGGUGUUUGUUUUCUGCGCCCAUAUGACUAGUCAUAUAUACUAGUCAUUGGUCACUGGUAUCGGUUUGGUCUUAAUGUAUUUAAUCCUUCUUGGAUUUGACCCAUGUUACCAUAUGUGACAUGGUUGUCUUUAUUGUGGUUUCCUUAAGUCACUUUUGAGUAGACUUCUAUUGAUGUUGUUGCUUUACGCAACUCGAAUGAUGAUUGUCUUGGCUGCAAUCUCCUGUUUUGAAUUUAUAGGUCUAUUGCACUUUGUGAUUUUUCCAUUAAAGGGAGCUUGUUAAUUUAGUUGUCCUUGGAACACUUUGUUAUGUAGUGAACUGCUUACUUCUUGUUAGGAUUGAUCUCGGUUAUGGAUUUCCUUUAUUAUUUAGAGCUUUAGUUCUCAGCACUUAGACUUUGGCUAUAGGAGGAAAAUGCAUUGUUGUUUUGAAGAGGAGUGGCUUAUGCAUUAUCCUAGCUUACUUUAGAUUUGCGUGGGUGUGAUUGUUGUUUUUCCUUAGUGACAUGCAUUCUUUGGUUAUUUUCACAUCUUUCUUUGUGUCAAAUGUUUUGUACCUUAUUUUCAUCUUGGAAUGUCUUCUUUAUUAUGUGCAUUGCUUGUCCAAAAUAGUAUCAUUUUGGUCUGCUACAUAACGAGUCAUCUUGAUAAGUUGUCUUAUCUUUUUGAAUUUUCUUGUUGUUGUCAUUAGUGGCCUUCACUAGCUUGAUCCUUGUGCUGAUAACGACAUGAAAAUAUAUACUCCAGUCACACAACACAUAGAUGUUCCCACAUUUCAAACUUAGCCUAACAUGAUCCUUGUAAAUCCUUACAAGUUUGCUGUGCUAUAUGAGUUUUGGAUUGUUGGCUAAUUUAUUUUGUUGGGGGAGUUUCUUUGAGAUGCAUGUGUUUGGCAACAUUCUUGCUUAUUGUUUUUAUCAUUUUCAUACAUCAAUGUUGCCAUCCUAAGCCCUAUCUCGAUUGAUUUGCUCUCUUUUGUUCUUUGCUGUGUCUAUGAGGUUAUUGCUCUUUUGAUGCCACCUCAAAUUUAGACAUGCGUGACUAGUCCAUUUCACUAGUCCACUCGCUUCUUCUUGUGCUUUUUGGAAAGCUAUGUUGUGUUUUUUGGACAGCCUAGAGACUUAUUUCUUGAGUUCUUUCUCACAUGUCUUCAAUUUUGAGCAAAAAUUUAGGUUUCAUCUUGCUUGGUGCUUUCUUCAAAUUAACAAUGAUUGAUGCCUUAAUUUUUGAAAUCUUAGUGCUCUGUCUUGAUUUUGCACUAUGGUGUGUAAAAAAAAAUUCAUUGGUUGUCCCUUAUUUUGAUAAAUAUAUUGCUUAAACUCUGUCUUUUUAGGGGAGUUUCUUUAUGUGUAAUGUGUACACAUUGAAAUUAAAUUCAGCCACUUGAUUUUAAUUGCUUUAGGUAUGAUUCCUUGCAACUUGUGCUCCAUUUCUUAUUCUUUUUAGUCUGAUGCACUUUUGUGUUUGUUGGCUAUUUAUGGACAGUUUGUUGGAUUAGUACAUCAAAGGUUAAUUCCUUUAUGUUAUAUGAUACUCAGGGGGAGCAUUUUUGGACAGGUUGGGUGGUAUAUUUUUGUAAUCUCAUUGUGGGGAUCUCUUUACUUGGGUAGUCUGUGCAACUUGAUAGGGGGAGUUGUCUUGUAUUGUUUUGAACAAAUGUUGUUUUGCUUUGUAAUCAAACCGUGUCAUGUGCAUAUUGUUCAAAUAUGAUUAUGUGACUUGUGUUUAAUUCACUCGAUUACUGUUUCUCAAUAUUUGCCUUUUUGUUCUUUCCUUAUCAACAAGGGGGAGAACACUCUCAAUCCCAUAUUGCAUAUAUUGCAUAUUGCUUCAAAUUUCUGUGAUAUAAUAUGCUUGUCUUGUGCCUGGGAGUUUGGUUGUUGUUUUGCAGGUACUUUAUUUCAUCAUCUCCAUAGGUUUGGUUUUGGGUUGAGUGUAUUUAGAGAGUGUGUUGUCAAGGAAAGCCAAAAAGGGGGAGAUUGUUAAUGUAUGCAUUUUGAGUUUUUUCUUUUGGCUUCCCUUGACAAUUUUGUAAUAGGAUAAUCAUUGUAGUUUCCCAAGCUCCAAGUUUAGAUUAAGAAUUACUUCUCUAGGUGUUCUUAUCUGCUUGCAUUCUGAUGGAAAACAGUGCGUUUGACAAAGGUAAAUUCUACAUUACACUACAUUGCAUUCACUAAUUUCUGAAGAUUAUGACUAGUCAUUUUUCCUUUGUAUGACUAGUCAUCUUGCAUUCGUAUGACAAGUCAUCUUUCCUUCGUAUGACUAGUCAACCUUUGUUUCAAUUACGAUUUCCAGCUCACUGUUUCCAGCUGGGGUUUAACCAUUUUUUUGUCCUUUUCUAUGAAUUUCUCAGCUGCCAUGUGUCUAUUCUGACCUAGGAAUUUUUGAUAAAAGCCAAAGAAUUCCUCACUUGGAAGCCGUCACUUUUGUAGGCAAGUUUUGGAAAGUUUCUCUGUAAAUUUUCUCUUAUUCCUCAAGUGUAACCUUCAUAUUUUUCAUCUUUGAGUUUUCCAAAAUGUUUCUUUUUGAAAACUGCAUUUGAAAUAUGAAAACCUCAUCUUGCUAGAUCAAACACUCUCUCAUAUAUAUCUAGGUCAAAUUCAAGAUUGAUUUCUUCAAGAGUAUGAUUUCUUGAAGAAAUUGGUCAUUCUCCUUUGAAUCUAAAUUUUGGUUUUUGUCUGAGUUGGAGCUUGCAAGCUGGUGCUGUGGGAUGAAUGAGCUGGAGAAGGAGCUGCCAUUGCCAUAAAGAACUGAGCUUCAAGCUUUGCUAAGUUGGAGAAGAAGAUUGCACAAAGGAGGUAUAGCUCAUCUUCCUAAAUAGAUCUAGGUUUUUCUUGAGCUUGCUUGUGUUUCUUUGUAAGAAUCUUUUUCUACUUAGUGGAUUGCCUGGUCGGUUGAUGACCCCCAGUUUUUCCCAAUUGUGGGUUUCUAGGUGAACAAUUUCUGAUUGCGUCUCUAUAAUUUUUCUGGGUUUGUGUUCUUGGUGGUUGACUAGUCAUCGAAUGAAUUGUGGUUGACUAGUCAUCGUAUGAAUUCUGGGUUUGUGUUCUUAGUGGUUGACUAGUCAUUGUAUGAAUUCUGGGUUUGUGUCCUAAUAGUUGACUAGUCAUCAUUAUCUGUUGUUUGAUGUUUACUUGAUUAUGAUGAUUUCACACACUUUAGCACAGGGGAUACCUAGAUUGACGGGUCCUUCUGAGUGCCUAGGUUGUCACUAGUAAUCUACUAGGGUUGCAGGUACAUUGUGGCAUGCUCUGUGUGUAUUCUUGAUUGUGGUUGUUCAUGCCUAGCAGUUGACUAGUCAUAAGUGUACUUGGUCAAGGUCUAAAGUGUGUGAAGAUUGUUGCGUUUUGUUUAAGUGUCGUAAAAGUUACCCCUCGUCACCUAAGUUCCAAUUUCAGUUUUGAGAAGUUUUUGUCUCCGAAAUUUUCUCAUGAUACCCACGUGCUGCCAACGGCGGGUGACGGGGUGUGGUCCACUGUGUGGCGGCCCAUUAUGUUCUAAAAUGUUCACCUUGUCAUGUUGAGCACGACGGUAUGCUUGAAUUUGAAAUUGGUUAUCGUUUGACAGUCGAACGGAUGUUGCACCUAAUAUGCGAUAUCCGGGUUCGAUAGGUUCAAACCUUUCGAUCAGUCUCAAUUUCAAAUAUGUCGUUCUCUAUACCUCUGGAAUCGUGCAGGAACUUGUGGAUCUAGAAUCGGAGUCCCGAAUACUCCGAAUCAAUGAUUCUAAGGUUAGGCGAAGCGAUCGCCGUCUGAUCUUGCAAUUAGCUCCCAUCUGACCGCUUGAUCGAGACCAAACUUACAGAACUUUUUCAGUGGACGUUGUUGAAUGCGUAAGAUUUUUUCUUGGAUCAGAAAUCGGAGAUCAUGAGCCCUGCAGGCCUGAUUGACCAAUAUGGGGGGUUUGACCGUACAAUUGAUCUGGGGUCUUUGAGACCAUCUUAACGUUUGGAAAACACUAAAAUGGCCCUAGGACUUUUCUCAAUGGAUGUGUUUACACUUUUGAGUCCUGGGAACCAAAAUUCUGAUCUUUAAAGUUCGGAGUUGGGUUCGAUUAACAAGUUAAGCCUAGUAUUCUAUCGGUAUGUUUUCAAGCGCAACGAAUCCAGAUGAAAUCGCGGAGACUUAAUUGUGCUUUGGACCGUGUGUCAGUGGACAUUUGUUUGGUCAUGCUGAAAUAUAACUAAGUUACCUUCAUAACUGGUGAUGUGACAUUUGCAUAAUUAUUAUCAUAAAAAGUAUUUUUAUUUUCUUGACUGGUGAUGUGCAUUGAUAAUUAGUUUCAGAAAUGCCAAGACCUGUUCGCUUAAACUUGGCGCGAGAAGAGCAAUUUUCCGCCUCCAGUUUCAUCGAGGUGUGUGAACUGUCAUUUCAGUCACACCGGUUGGGAAACGACGACAAAAAUUCAUCUAUACCCAUUGUUUUCUUGGUCCACAAAUACUCGUACCGUGUUAAUUGAAUAAAGUAAGGGUUUAGCGAUGACGGUUGGGCAUAUGGAUUCCUGCUACGUUGUUGGCUUGCUAGGGCUGUUGAACCCUAGUACCUUUUCACAGACAUAAUGAUUUAAAUAUCAAAUUUAAGGGGAGAAAUAAGUGUAGGGUUUUUUCCAUAUUGUUUAUAACCCAGUAGGAAAUUUCCCCAUUAUUUUCGGAUUUCUCCUGCAUUUGUAACGAUUUUUGUAACCAAAAAAAAAAAAAAAGUAAUCUGGAAAUCCCUUUCGCUAACAUAAUGAUUUAAAUAUUGAAUUUAACCAAAAACUCCUUGCGAAGUAUAACCAAAAACUCUUUACGAAGUAUUCUUCCCCAUAGAUACGUAGGAAUUUUCCGCAUAUUUUUUGGAUUUUUCCUGCAUUUUUUAGUGGAAAUAAGAAACUAAUCAAACUACUUGAAGUUGCUAGAGGUUCGCAGUUGUCAGAGUUCUCAGAUCAAUAUAAUCAAGAAACUACCUAAGCAUGUCUUUGAUCAAUGUGUAUUAUCGAUGAUACGUUUAUUGAUUAAAUGAUAAAUGUUUAUAGGAGAUGGAACAAAAGUUUUGAGAUGUUGUUGAGAAUUUUGUUUGAAUCUUUAAUUCCCUUUUCGAUUUUCUAAUGUGCGUAUCUUGGAAUGCAUGGAUUGAACUAUUAUUGUUUAUUGAUAAUUCUCAGUGUCAAUUAUUCUCACUAGUUUUUUAAUAAUCAAGGACCCGAGUAAUUCUUGGAUCAUGGAAGUAAUGCAUGAAUGCAUCAAGUAAUCUAGAUCGGAAUAGUAAAACGAAAGAAGUACAACUUUUAUUCCCACAGAUAGUCUUAGCUAGAUUACAUAAAUUAAUGCUUGAGCAGCAGCUGCAUGCAAUAUUAUUGAAACCCAAAUCACAACAUAAGGAAAACUUAAGAAAAUGCCACUUUCGCAGGGAACGCGAUUGCAUUUAGCAUAUGCAACAAGCUAUCUUGAUAGAACGAGUGAAGUCGCAUGAGAGUUUCCAGCAAUGCUACCCACAAACAUCAAAUUAACUUCACAGGAUGAUCAUCCUGGAAGUUUUUCGACCAUGAAGGCAAGGUUUUGGGUGGGUUUUGCAUUUUCUGCAGAGAGGGCAUCGUCGAAGUCGGUUCCAGAUCUUGGCUCUAUCAGGUUUCCCAUUUGCACGUGGAUGAACUUGUAUACGCCAUCCAUGUACGGUAUCGGUGGUACCAAAACCACAGGCUUAAAGAGUGUACAUGACCACAGGGUUUUAUUUGACUGUUUCUCGUCGGCCUCGGCCACAAUCCACGAACUGUCUUGGCUUGCCGCUCUCAAGUAUUUGUCGUUGUAGGUGGAUUUUAUAUGCACCAGACUGGGUUGGUUUACGUCCUUCUCCACUUUGAACCUUGCGUAUUUGCUGUGACUAUGCUCUCCGGAGCAUUGGAGCAAAUGUGGCAGCGUUGAGGUGGAUUGGUCUUUGUACACCAGGUAUUUCUGUUUCUUGACUGAUUUAAGAGCAAGAAACUUUGGUAAUUCUGCCAUUUCUGAUGAUCUCUCGCUCGUGCUUCAAUAUAAGAUUGAUAUAUAUAUAUAUAUAUAUAUAUGUAAACUCACUUCUCUCUUUCUUUCUCUCUCGUUGCUUAUUGCUUUUCCUAUCUCCAACUUGCUGUGCUAUUUAUAAUCAAGCAAGCCCAAACCAUGCAUGCAGCUUUCACUUAGUUUUCUUGCUGUACUGGCCCGCCAUAACAGAGAAAAUUGAAGCCACAAGAAGCGUGCUGACUGCACAGGGCCUCCAAAAAUGAGGGGCCUCCAAUUUUCUUCCCCAUUUUUGUCUGACUUGCUUGACUUGCUGUUGUUUCUCUGGCCAUUUUUUUUCUUUCAAUUUUUGCUUGACUUGGUGUGGCUUGGUAUGACGUGUAUAUUAGAAAACAUCAUAUGGAAUUGAAAAUAGAUAUAGAAGACAAUUGAGAGGAUGUGAGUAUGUGAAAAUAGAUGUAAUUCAUGCCAUUAAUGAUGAUUUUUGGUUUCAUUUUUGAAAUUUGAAAAAUUGAAGACAAUUUUUUAUUUUUUUUAACUUAUAGGGCCUCUUCAGUUUUCUUUGCACAAGGGCCUCCAAAUCUCAUGGACCAGCUCUGUACACCAUACUAUCAAAUUAUUUAUUGAAUUACUAAUUUACCCUAAUAUAAAAUGACAAAAAAGGAUAUAUUGAAUUGUGAAACAAAAGUAAUUUUAGUAAGUACACCCUACUUAAUGUAUUGAACCCUAAUCAAAUUAGAAUUUGAGAGUUUGAUUCCAAACAUAUUUGAGAUAAAAAUUCAAAGUUUUUGUUGGGUGUAAAUUUUUUUUUUCUAUCACUUCCAUAAUUCCUGACAUCAAUGAAGAAGAAGCUUUGAGAGGAGAAAAGAUUGAAGCUGCCGAACAGAAUCCCUUGCCAAAAUGCCAUGGUUAUUCAUCAAACAGCGUGAAAGCAACUUAAAUAUUAUUUCAUUUUGAUCAACAAAGCUCGCCAAGCUUUUAUGAACUUUGGAGGGAAUUGUGGAAAGUCCACCCCCUUCUGCACCAUCAGAUCAGUUCUCCCCGACUUUUGUUCGUCUGCCUGUUAAUAAGAUAUUUACAUGCAUACUUCACCUUAUACGUAUCUAAUUCACUGGCAUGUGACUAUUUAUAUUUCCCAUUACAUUUGCAGCAUACAGAAGAACCCUUCUGGUUAGUACUCAUGAAUUUGGUUCAACGAGUGUAUCCCUGACGGUUUAGAUCUGAUGAAGGGAAAAGGAGUUGACAAGAACAUAUUUGAUGAAGACGACCAAUUCAUGUAAAAUAGGGUGUACAUAGUAUUAUGGUGUAUCAGGGGUAUUUUUGGUAGUUAAGUAGGGUGUACUUAGUUAAUUUUACAUUUUGAUUUAAAUAUUAGGGUGUACUUAUAUCAUAGAGUGUUCUCAGUUAAUUUUAGGAUUCGUUGAACAACACCCCAUAAAAAUAAAUAAAUAAAAAAAUAAAAAACUAAAGCGUGCUUCACAUCUUCAAAUAAAACAAAGAUAAGCUUAGUAUUUUCUUCUUUGUUGUAAUGUGAACUUGAUUAUGUAAUUUCUACUACUUGUAGCCAUUUAUCAAUUAUAAUUAUGUCAUUAAUUAGGAUUGAACAACAAAGUUGUUGAGAUGAUUACAUACUUUAAUUACAAACGUAUGAUAGGUUUAGGAGAGUGGUACGUAGUUCCAAUUGUUCCUUUCACACAGACACAUCUUCAUUAUUUUACUGAGAAACCAUUUCUCUUAAGCAAAAUCUGUCGAUUUUAUGUAGGUUUGAAAUUGCGGACGAUUGUUUUUAAUUUCGACCUUCUACAAACAAAUAAAUCAAAGAAAAAAGAAGAAGAGAAUUUUAAUUCAUAUAUUUCAAUUUCUUUGUGAAGCUUUUAAAUUCAUUUCAACAUAAUAUCAAUAAGAUUAAGUUUGAUUUCCUUGAGAAUCAUCACUGAUCUGAUGGCAUCAGAUAAGUCUUUGAAUUACUGAAUGUGAUUGAUUGAUUGAAACGUAUUAAUACAAGAAUAAAGCUUGAAAGAUAGCUUCAUCCAAAGCUUGAAAGAAUAAAGCUUGAAAGAUAGCUUCAUCCACAGCUUGAAAGAUAGCUUCAUCCAAGCUUAAAAGAAUAAAGUUCGUUUUCCUUGAAAGAAUAAAGCUUGAAAGAUAACUUCAUCCACAGCUUGAAAGAAUAAAGUUCGAUUUCCUUGAGACAUGAUGUGAUUCUUUCAAAAAUAGUUUCAUCCACAGCUUGAAAGAUAAAGAAUAAAGCUUUCUUGUCCUUCUUCCGAGUCUCCUUCAGUUUGAUGGUGGGAAUGGGAUUUGGCUAUGGGGUGCGGUCUAUGCAACCACCUCUUUGUCCCCUCUUGCUUCGUCUUCUUGGAGUUAGUUGUGGAAGAUCAAUCAUAGUAAUCCCGGUAAUCCGAAGCCUUAUGGUAACCAGGCCUAGAAGAGAGAUUUUGUAUGAAGCAAGGCCAUUGAAAAUCAUAAUGGAUACCAAAAUCAAUUAUGUGGAUCCUUGUUGCUUUCUCACCUACAUUCAUUAUUGUCUUAUUUGAGAAGAAAUUUGAUAUGUUCUUAAAUGGACAUGUGGCAAGAUAAAGAUGGUCAGCUUUCUCUCAUCUUCAAAAUCAGGAUUUGUAGCCAUGGGAGGUGGGUUGAGGAAGGAAUAGAGCGUGGUGAGAAGAGAGAGAGAGAGAGGAGAUAGAGAGAGAGAGAGAGACACUUUUGCCCCUCAAUUUCACAGAACAAUUGACAGACUUUGACGGUAGGACUGUUUUGAUACUAAAUGGAGAAUUGGAGGACUAUUGAAAUGAAAAUUUUAGUUUGUGAACCAAAAUAAAACUUGAGCAAUAGUUGGGGGACCAUUUCGGUCAAUAACUCAAUAAUUUACCCUUUGUCAAUAAGGGAGGGGGAAUUCAAACUUGGGACCUCUUUUAACAUUGGAAAGAGAAGUACCACCAAACCAAUAGCUAGUUGGUUGUACACAUUUAAAAUCACUAAAAUCACAACUCAAUCUACCCAAUUGUAAUGGAAAAAAAAAAAAAAAAACCUUCUUGUUCAAGUUUAGCAAUCCAAUAUUUACUAUUAAACAUUUUUGCUAAUUUUUCCAUUGGUUAUCCAAUUGCACCUUCGCUGGGUGUUUUAAUGAAUUAAUUCUAAUAUCAUAUAUAGAAAUUAUUAAAAGAUAAAAUUUACAACUUCAUCAUUUAAAAUUUCAUUAUUUGGAUAUCAGUAAAUUAUUGAAAAUAAUUAGAAAUAAAAAUUAAGUGAUGGUUGGUAAUACCGAAUUUUUAUUACGGAAAUAUUUAUUAGAAUUAAAGAUUAAUAAUAGACAUUUUGAAUUGUUGAAACAUAAGACAAACUGAAUAUCCUUCAAGGGUGUCCCUCAAACAAGUUAUUUGAGAUAUUCCUCAAUUAAAGUUCCAACUGAAACAACCAUAGAAAAUGACGCAUGUGCAUGAUACAUGACUUUUUUUUUAGCAGAAUUCUUGAAGGAGUUAGCAUUAGUAGACAUAUUUUGAAUUAUGAAAGAUUGAGAUGACAAGUUGUAAGAGCUUUUGGGCUUGAUCACUAGCAUUUGGUAUGCUAUGUGCUAUAAAUAGGUAAACCCAUGAUAUGUUAAUGGGAACGAUGAUAUUUGGCUGAGAUUAAAAGUAUGUAACCAAUCCUUAACUUAAAUACUUAUUGAAAAAUCUCCGACUAUAUAAUAUAGGUGGACCCUAUCUUCUAUUAUAUAUGUGGUGGGUUGCUUAAGUUGUUGGGCUUUGUUGAUGCUCUUUUUGGGAGGGUCAAUUUAGAUAAAGGAGUGUUGGAUCUUCAGCAAGGGGAGAAGGUUGUGGACCUUCGGUAUUGAGGGAUUCUGUAGAAGGAAACAAGGAAGAAGAAGCGAUCGUCAAGCUUCGGGCACUGAUGUGGUACUUGCCAAAGGCUCUCCAAUGUUUAAGUCAGCGAGUAUACGUUGUAAUUUUGGUAGAGUAACAGUAAAGGUGAAAAGUAGUUACCCCUUUUUACUUGGGCCCUGUUCCCUAUUUAUAGGAAAGUGAAAAUGAGAGUUUUGCACAAAGUUUCGUUGUGAGGCUUUGUGCAAACUGUUGUAGAGGCGACACAUGUCCAUGGAAACUAGGUUCUGUAGUUGAGAGCAGCAGGCGAUUACCGCUUCGGAAUGAGGUCUUCCUUCGGUAGGUUAAGAAGGUGGUGAUGUCACUUUUAUUCUAAGGGCUUGUCUGGGUAUUUGUCAGAGUGUCUCUUUCCCCUUGGCAGUUGGAGUGCCUGCUUAGGUAUCAGUCGUUUAAUGCCGAGUUCGCUCGGUUGAUUAUGGUGUAAACAGUAGUCCCCCAAGUUGUCAAUCAAGGAGUGGCUUCUUGGUUGGGAACUUGUAAAAUGUUAAGUAAUUACAUCGAGCAUUUCGGCGUGGUGGGUGCCUUAGGUAGUCCUCUGGUCCCCCAAGUUCGGAAGCUAGAAUGCACGUUUAUUGGGAAAGUUGUUCUUAAAAGGACAUGUCUUCGAAACCAGUACAUGGGAAGUUGAAGGAAAGGUAUGACAUCAGCGAGAGUCGCGUGCAUAUCUUGGCAGCUUCGGCACAGAGGGUGCCAAAGGGAAGGUAUGACGUCAGCAGUGUCACGUGAGUCCCUUCGUAGCUUCGACAUGGCAGGUGCCGAAGGGAAAGUAUGACGUCAUUGCGAGUCGUGUGAGUCUCCUUCCAAGCUUCGGAAGGGAGGGUUCUGAAAGGAAGGUAUGAUGUCAUCGCGAGUCGCGUAAGUCUCCUUCUAAGCUUCGAAAGGGAGGGUUCCGAAAGGAAGGUAUGACAUCAUCGCACUUCGCGUCCCAUUCCAAGCUUAGGAACGGAGGGUUUUGAAGGGAAGGUAUGACGUCAUCGCGAGUCGCGUGGGUCUCCUUCCAUGCUUUGGAAGGGAAGGUAUGACGUCAUCGCGAGUCAAGUGAGUCUCCUUCCAAGCUUCGGAAUGGGGGGUUCUAAAGGGAAGGUAUGAUGUCAUCGCGAGUCUCGUGGGUCUCAUUCCAAGCUUUGGAAUGAAGGAUUUCGAAAGGAAGGUAUGACAUCAUCGCGAGUCAUAGGAGUCUCCCUUCAAGCUUCGAAAUUGAGGGUUCCGAAUGGAAGGUAUGAUGUCACCACGAGUCGUGUCUCUUUCCAAGCUUCGGAACAGGGGGUUCUAAAGGGAAGGUAUGACGCAAUUGCAAGUUGCCACAUGUCGGAAGAAUCCAAAGGUUUUUUGUGGGAAUCGAUGUGCCUUUCCUAGUUGGGAUGGUUAGGAGUAAAGGCUACGUUUCGCAUUCCGAGGCGUCCUUUCGCAUCUAAACAAUAGAGUCAAAGGGAAUAAGUGAGGGUACUUGGAAAUGUCGAAAGAUUUUUCGUAUAGGAGCGUAGGCGGUUUCUGGGGAAGUUGUGGUGCGGCGGAGGCAAUUUCCGGGCAUCUUGUGUGGUGGAGAUAACAAGGUACGGCUUGUUUUUAUUCCUUUCUUUGGAUUGAAAUGCUCAUUUGCAAUGAAUUUGCAUAAGAAUUUUCUUUUAUAGGGCAGCAACUGACGUUGCAGAAGACAUGGAGAAAUCGUUGGUUCUUUGCCUUCGGCUACUGGGAAUUUUGCCUGGGAAGACCGUCAGCGGACACAUGCCUACUCAGUUUCAAUCUAUAGGUCCUUGGUCAUAACUUUAUGUUUUAACUUGUGUUGUUUUGUAUGUGCUUGGGUAUGGAUGUUCAUUAGGGAUGGGCACGGUUCGGUUUGGACCGGUUUUUGCCUCAAAUUAGAACCGAUCCGGUACUAUUCAUCCGGUUUGGUUCGGUUCGGUUUUAAUUAAAAAAAUUUCAAAAACUGUCCGGUUCGAUUUGAACCGAUUUCGGUCCGGUUCCGGUUCCAGUUCAAUUUUGAACCGUAUUAUAAAAAUUAUUUUUUAAUACAAUUCUCGACUGAAAUAUUUUUUUUUACUUGAAAAUUAACAAAUUAUUCAAUUUCAUAUAUAAAAUAAAUAUUAAAGUGAGAAAAGAGAGAUAUUUUGACAUUGAACUUGGAUAAAUAUUAGGUUUUUUUUAGUGAAAUUAAAAAUAUAGCAUUAAAUAUAAAUAUAUAUUGAAAUUAUAUAUUUUUUUAGUUUCACCGGUUCGGUUCUGCCCGGUUCGGUUUUUGAAGACAUUAAACCGGAUCCAGAACCGGUCAAAACCGGUCCAGUUCAAUUUUUGACCGAUUUUGACUUUUUGGUCAACUCGGUUUUUUUUCGGUUUGGUUCGGUGUGGUUCGGCUCGAAUUUCCGGCUCGCCGGUUUGAGUGCCCACCCCUAAUGUUCAUGUCUUUCGAAGCUUUUGGAAACUAAUAACCCUCUUGUUUGUGUGCAGAUUUUGUGAAGUGCAGGCCAGUGUCGAAGGAAGAGGAGAAGGAGUUAGAGUUGGUAAGAACUCUAGUCUCUACAGAGAGACAAGAGGUGAAGAACAUUGUGAUGCCAAUGCUUCUUCUGGAGUCAGGGUUGCUUCAAGGGAGUAAGUAUUUGGUUUUGUUGUGUUGUCCUCAUUUUGUUUUUGUAUUUGUGUGCUAGACUAACUCUGUUUUUGUAUCUUCACCCCGGUCAGGACUGCGUUCAAAAAGGGCACUUCCUAAAAAUGCAUCCAUCUUCACCCCGAUCAGGAAGUCCUUGGACAUCAACUUUGAUACCGGUGGCUUUCCUCCUCCCAUUCCUCCAGGUAGGGAAUGGACGUUUGCUUCCUCAUCUUCUACAGAUCCUACUACCUCGCAUGAUGCCAAGGCUAGGGUUGGUGCGGUUCCAAAGGCCGAGCUUGCAGUUGAAGAGGUGCAAGACGAGGAUGCCGAUGCCUGAGGUCUUAUGUAAUUUUGUUUUUCCUAUUUUCAUGUAACCUUGGUAUUUGUUUUGAACAGUGUUUAGAGUGCCGAUGGUGCUCUUGUUUUGUAUGGAUACUACCCUGCCAUAAGGCACAGUUAUUUUGAAAGUUUGUAUGAUAGCAUAUACUUGGUGUUUUGAAAUAUUUUGUAUGGAUACUAUACAAUCCUAAUUGAGAUUGUAAAAUGAGUAGAAAUAAUCCAAGGUCAGGCAUUUCAUUAGGUAGGUGCUGAAAAGCAAUAAGUACAUAAAACGUCUAAGUUAAGGCUCGAGACAUGGGUGCCGAAGACCUAAGAAAACAUUGAGUCCUAGGGUAUGGGCAUGUUCACUUGUGGUAGUACUUGAGGUGAUUAACGUUCUAUGGAUGAGGCAAAGGUUUGCCAAUGGGAUUGCAGAGUUGAUAAGUGCCUGGGCAGUAGACUUUGAUAAUCUCAUAAGGACCUUUCCAUCUUAGUCCCAAGGUACCUUCGCCCGAGUUUUUGGUGGCCAAGGAAACCUUGCGCCUUACCCAGUCCCGAGUCUUAAAGGCUCGAGGUUUCACUCGGGAGUCGUAGUACUUGGUGACACGUUGCUUGAAGGCAAAGUUACGCAUGUUUGCCUGGUCAUGAAGCUCGUCAAUGAGGUUGAGGUUUAGGGCCAACUGCUCAUCGUUUGCUUCAGCAUCAUAUGCAGAGGUUCGGUAAGAGGGCUACCCAAUCUCCACCGAGACAACGGCCUCAAUGCCGAAAUGAAAAAAGAUGUCUCGCCCGUGGAGGUACGAAAUGUGGUAUGAUAGGACCAAAAGACCUCCGAGAGGAGUUAUGGCCAACACCCCUUGGCCUUGUCAAGUUUGGUUUUCAAGGUCUUUUUGUUGAUUUUGUUCACAGCUUCGACUUGGCCAUUAGAUUGGGGGUCGACUGGAGAGGCGAAACAAAGACGAAUCUUGAGGUUGGAGCAAAAUUGCUUGAAUUUUAUGUUGUCAAAUUGUCGAUCGUUGUCUGUUACAAUUGCAUGGGGUAUACCGAAGCAACAUAAGAUAUUCUGCCAUACAAAUGUCUUGAUGCGAGCUGCAGUGAUGGUGGCAAAGGCCCCUGCUUCAGCAUACUUCACCUGGCCCUUUUCCCUCUAACAUAGGUCCAAUGAGGUCCAGUCCCUAUUGAGUGAAUGAAAAUAGGCUGACCAUUGGGGUCAAUGGUUCAGCAAGGAGUUGUGGGAUGUUAGCAAGCCUUUGGCAUUUGUCGCAUUUCUGGGUGAAGGUUUGGCCAUCAGUGUGGAGUGAUGGCCAAAAAUAGCCAUUCUGAAUAACCUUGUGGGUUAGAGAUCAGGCGCCUGAAUGGUUGCCACAAAUGCCUUCAUGGAUUUUUCAGAGGACAAAGUUGCCUUCUUCAGGAGUCAGACAUCGAAGAUAAGGGAGACUGAAGCCACGUUCGUAUAAGGUGACAUUAAUAAUUAAGUAUCUAGCAGCCCUAUAGCGAACACGCCGCGCCUCGACAUGAUCGACGAGCAAUGUUUAGUGUUGUAAGAACUGGAGUGUGGGAUCCUUCCACGUGGGGCUAUGGUCAAUGGUGCAAAUGACUGGUGCUUGGGUGCUGGGUUUAUCUAGGAACUCCAUGGGGAUGUUGCGACUGAUGCCUUGUUUGAUUGCCGAAGCUAACCUUACCAAAGUAUCAACAUGGCUGUUUUCAUAUCGUGGGAUCUAACUGAUGCUGUAGGCCUCGAAGGUUUUCAGUAGGCGAUGGAUAUGCUAAAAGUAUGUUGUCAUGGAGGUAUCCUUGGUGUUGAAGUCCUGGUUGACUUGAUAGACGACGAGUUGGGAGUAGUUGAAUAUUUGAAUUUGUCUAGCGCCCAUCUCCUUGGCGAGCCGAAGGCCAGCUAAGAGUGCUUCAUAUUUCGCGACAUUGUUAGAGGCGUGGAAGUUGAAGCGGAGGGCGUACUCCAGGAUAACCUUAUAUGGGGAAGUGAGGACUAAGCCUACCCCACAACCCUGGACGUUUAAGGAGCCAUCAACAUGGAGUGUUCAUAAGGGUUAGUUGAGGUCGAAGCUGCCUUCACUGGCGAGGUGGACGAGGGUUGAGGGGAAGUAGGUUCGGCAAUGACCAAGGGAGUGGCCGAAGGUUGGGGUUUUGUAAAUUCGGAGAGAAAAUCGGCACCGAUCGUGGCUUAUAAUGAAUAUCAAAUUCUCCGAGCUUGAUGGCCCAUUUAACUAGUUUGCUAGAUGUUUUUAGCUUCUGCAAUACCUCCCUUAAGGGCUGAUUGGUAAGGGCAUGAAUGAUAUGGGCCUGGAAGUAGGGUUGAAGACGUUUGGUGGAAACUACCAAGGCAAAUGCCAACUUCUCUAUGUCUGGGUAUUGAGCUUUGGCAUCCUGUAAUGCCUUACUGACAUAGUGUACUAGAUGCUCGGCGCCAUCAUGUGGUCGGAUUAGCACUAAACUAACUGCUGUGUUGGAUACCAAAAGGCAGAUCAUGAGGGUUUCACCAAUCUCAGGUGUCGAUAAGAGAGGUGCAUUGCUCAUAUAUUCUUUGAGUUCGUUGAAAGCCUUGUAGCAUUUGGGGGUCCAAGUGGCUUGUUGCUCUUGAGAGCCUUGAAAAAGGGGGCGCAGCGAUCAGUAGCCUUGGAGAUGAAUCUAAUUAGGGCUGCGACAUGUUCGGUAAGGCUUUGGAUAUCCUUGACCGUCUUCGGUACCUUCAUGUCCAAGAUGGCUUGAAUUUUUUCUGGGUUGGCCUCGAUGCCUCGUUGACUGACCAUGAAACCAAAGAAUUUGUCUGAAACCACAUCGAAGCCAUACUUCAUCGGAUUGAGUCUCAUGUUGUAUUGCUUCAGUAUUGCGAACAUAGUAGACAGGUUAGGGAUGUGUUGGUCAGCGGUGCGACUUUUGACUAAGAUGUCAUCAACUUAGACUUCCAUGGUGUGGUCGAUGAAUGAGGCAAAAAGGUUGUUCACGAGUCGUUCGUAAGUUGCUCCAAUAUUUUUGAGGCCGAAGGGCAUCACCUUGUAACAGUAAAGGCCUCGGUCGGCAAUGAAGGAGGUGUGGGCAUGGUUGUCAGGGUGCAUAAAGAUCUGGUUACACCCGGAGUAGGCAUCCAUAAAGCUAAGAAGGACGUGGCCUGCUGUGGCAUCGACAAGCUGGUCGAUUCGAGGAAGAGGGAAGCUAUCCUUAGGAUAGGCAUGAUUGAGGUUGGUGUAGUCUAUACACAUGCACCAACCUUUCCUUGGUUUGCGGACCAUUACCACAUUUGCCACAUACGUGGGAUAGUCCACCUCCUUGGUGAAACUGAUGCUUAGUAGCUUCUCCACCUUCAUCUUCAUGACCUCAUAUCUCUCCGGGUCAUAGGCACGAUUCUUCUGUCGGACUGGUCAUACCGCAGGGUUAAUGCUUAACCGAAAGGAGAUGAUGUCGUGCGAUAUGCCAGGCAUAUCUUUGUAGGACCAAGCGAAAACUUUGGAGUUGAGGUGGAGGAAGGCUAUGAGGGCGGAGCAAAGGUUGGGUAGAAAGGAGGUGUCGAUUCAUACCUGCCGAUCCAAGAAGUCAUCAUGAAGGUAAACAAGUUCAAGAUCUUCCACCGGUUUGCCCUGGGGGGUGACGAAUUCUUCCCUAGGGUCCACAGGUCAUUCAGCGCAAGCACAGGGAAGAGGGGGGAUGUGGUCACCUAAAGAGCUUCAUGUCGUGGGGGCGAUUGGUGGAUUUGACCGUCGAAACAUAACAACUUCGGGCGUCAAGUUGGUCGCCUUGCACCAUGCCCUUGCCAUGAAGAGUACAGAUGAUUAGGAAGGGAGUGGUCACCGACGAUUAGGAAGGGAGUGGUAUCCGUGGCCCGUUGGUGUGCUGAACCGAUUGAGAUGGGGAGGUGGAUACUUCCAACGAGUUGGACAACAUCGCUAGAAAAGCCCACAAGAGGCAUGAUGCUUCGGUCAAGCAGGUGCUCAGGGAUCUGAAGUUCAUUGAAGGCUUAUACGAACAUGAUGGUGAUCGAGCUACCUAUGUCCACCAAGAUACGUCCGACAUCGAAGUUGGAGAUGUCUGCUCGAAUGAUCAACUGGUCGUCAUGAGGAAAGAUGAUGCCACGCUCCUCUUCGCUAAAGGUAAUAGGGUCCCAGCCUAUUUUGGACAUUUUCAGCAUGCGCCCACACUCGAUACUGAAGACUUGAUGCUCGUAGGAAAACUGGGCAUAAUACUUGAUGGAGUUGUUGGAUGUGCCUACCAUAGUAGGGUUGUCGCUGAUGGUGGAGAUCAUGUUGAUCUGGCGCUGGUAGGGGUUUGAGGCAGGUAGAAGGUUGUGGACAUACUCGUCUAAUUUUCCUUCACGAAUGAGUCAUUCAAUGAUGUUUCGCAGAGCAAUGCAAGAUUCUGUAUUAUGGUCGUUAAAUUGGUGAAAACAGCAUAAGGCACCGAUGUUCGGCAUAUGCUUGUUGGUAAGUCUUCGGGGAAGGGGUUUCGGUAUAAUGGGUGCGUCAUUGACCAGAACAUUUUCAUAAGUGGUGUUCAAUGUGGUGAACACCUCGAACCUAGUUUUGGGCUCGAAGGGGAGCAGGGCACAAUUGUUUGUCUUUGGGGGUUUGUUGCCGCAGGAUUGAUGAUGGUUAGAGUGUCUAACACGCUUCCCAUUGUUGAAGGAGCGCUGGUAGCUGUCCUUCCCCUUGGGGUUUUGGGCACUCUGAGAGUCAGGGGCAGGAGCGUAAUGGUUUGGUGUAGCAGGAGUAGGUGUCGAAGCCUGCGGAGGAUCGUUAAAGGUGGUCAGUGACUGGUUGGCAGGGCCACACUUGGAGUUAAAGUAUUUGGUUUUGUCAUGGAUGGCUACUUGCUGUGUUUCAUGAGUUGCUGUAGACCAGGUAGCGGAAGUUGGAUUCGUGAAGACCACUCUUGAAGGUGCCAAAGGCAGCUCGAUCAUCUGUCUCUGGACAGCGGGAGUACUCGUGCCUGAAGCGGAUUGCGUACUCCUGCCGGGGCUAGUCUCCACCCUGCCAAAGCAUGUAUAAGUCGUCCUCAGAAUACAAACGAUCGGUCUGAAUCAUGAAAUGGUUUAGGAAAGUCUGCUUCAGGCUGUCAAAGAAGUUGAUAGUUCGAGGGUUAAGCUGAUAGAAUCAGUUCAAAGCGACACCACUAAGGGUGGAGGGAAAAACGAGGCACAUGCCGUCGUCACUAAGAUCCUUGAACCUUAGGACAGACUGAAAAUAAAAUUUAAAUGUGGGUCAGGGGAUCCUCCUUGCCUAUGUAGAAGGCAAUGCAGAGCGGCUGAACGUCCUUCUCCUAACGAUAGUUAAGGAUACGCUUAGUGAAGAUGGCAGGGCAUGGCUUUGUCUAGAGGGGCUGAUGGCUGCAGUGUUGCUCAUUCUCAAGACGUCGGAUGUUUUUGAAGAAAAGUCGCAUGGCAGGGUUGGCAUGAGGGAGAGCAUCGAGUGGCGAAGACUUGUUGUUGUGGUUGGGAGAAGGUAGAUAAGUUUCCCACUCUUUGAAUGCUUCGGAAUGGUAAGACUCCCAGUCCUCAGGGUGGUAAGGUUCCCAAUCGUCUGAGUUCCCAACUCUUUCCUCGGUAGGUAAGCGGGUGGGCUUCGGCAAAGGGCCAAGGUGAGCCACCCACGAAUCAUCGAAGUCUACAGGAAUAGGGAUGGGCUUCGACCGAGGCUCAGAGAUGUGGUCCCUGCAGUCCCUGUAAAUCUUGGUUGGGGCAUGAGGCCGAUCCCUUGGUGGGGAGAUUUGGAGAAGUCACGACUUGGUCACCUCAGGAUGAAGGUGGCCUUUGCCUUUGUCAGGUCUAGGCUGUGUCGGGCCACUAUGACGGGAGACAACUGGUUGGUUUGGUUGGGUUCGCUCAUCACCCUAGGUGAGGUUAUGUUGGUUGAAUUAGUGGUGAGCGUUCUCCCAAUUAUGCUUCAAGGUUCGGCAGUCAUGCUCUAGUUAAGCAUUCUUGGUACGAAGGUGGUCGUAGCUCUCCGUCAUCUUCGCGACAUCGGCACAAAGGCUCUCCACUUCAGCUUGGAGGUGCGCAUCAGCUGAAGGCACGCAUCGGCUGAAGGCUUCCUUUGGGAGGACCCCUGAUGAGGGGUAUGGUGUUGGGUAUCAAGGCUAGCCUCACUUGGCAUAGUGGAGUGUGAGGGGUAGAAGAGACGACAGGGUUAGAUGAGAGAUGGAGCCAGCGAAACUGGUAGAGAGGUGGGAUUCAAAAGUCGAUUCUCACAGACGGCACCAAACUGUUAAUCCUCUUUUUGGGAGGGUCAACUUAGAUAAAGGAGUGUUGGAUCUUCAGCAAGGGGAGAAAGUUGUAGACAUUCGAUAUGGAGGGAUCCUGUAGAAGGAAAUAAGGAAGAAGCGAUCGUCAAGCUUCGGGCACUAGUGUGGUACCUACCGAAGGCUCUCCCAUGCUUAAGUCAGCGAGUAUACGUGGUAAUUUUGGCAGAGUAACAGUAAAGGUAAAAAGUAGUUACCCCUUUUUAUGGUGUAAACAGGCUUGAACUAUUUACCACUUGUUUUAGGAUAGUUAUGAUUUUCUUUUAUGGGUGGGAAACUCUUAACUGAACACAAUAUAUAUAGUUUUGUCCGCUUAAUAUUAAGUAUUUCCAUCAUAGCUCUGGAAAUACUUAAUAUUGAGGAAGAUCAUACUAUUGUUGCUGGUUACUUCUGGUGUUAUGGAUUCUUGUAUUGAUUUUGACCUUCUUCUUUUUUGUCUUUUCUUUUUAUUGGAUGGUGAGGAAGAAGGUAGGCAAGCUCGCGAAGCUUGAGAAAUUUGGAAAUGGCUCCUCCGAACCUUUCCUUGGUUCUGCCCUCCGAGAUUGGUCGAAACAGUCUAGGUAUUGGCGGUUUUGUUUGUGUUUGGUCACUGAGAAAACUGAAGGGAAAAAAGAACAUGCCAAAACUUGAAUCUUAAAUUUCCUCUAAAAGUCAAAAUAUUGAAUGUAUUCUUUCUACAUGAAUGAAUUCCAGUAUUGAAUUUGAUAUCUCGCAUGUGAUUUUUUAUGGCAAUUUGUGUGAUAAUGGAAUGAUAAAUUGUUUGCUUAUUUGACUGGUACUUCAAGGUAAAGUUAGUGAAAACAAAUACACAUUUUGUGCGUGUGCGAAACUUAUUUAGUGAAAACGAAUACAUAUUUUUUUACGGUCUUGUUUUGUUUCUCUCCCUCCCUAAUCCUUGUAUCCUGAAAAACUAUCAUUGAUUCAUUUUGGGAUUUUGGGAUUUUGGAUUCUAGAUGAAUUUUUGUAUCAAUAGUGAGUUACUGUUAUUUGGUAUCUUAUUGAGUUGCAAGUUAGUUAGGUGAAUUCUUUUUAUUUGUUCAGAAACACAGAUAAAGAAAGUCUAGUGCUGCCAGUUCAAGAGGCUUUCUAUUUCUGGUUAAUACUGGUGUAGAGCAAAUAUUCAGAAUCACAAAGCAUGCAUGGGCACAUAACAGUUUUGGUAUUUCCAAACUAAUUCAUGUACCUUAGUUAAUAUAGGGGUCCAUACAAACUUUCCUAGUGAAUAUCAGCUUUGCUUCUCUAUUCUCUCCUUUUCUUUGUUGAAUCUUUGUUGUUUUAAAUUAUCCUUUAUCCUUACCGUCCGCAUUUUGUACGCUAAAUCUUUUAUAUAGUUACUGAAUAUGCACUGUACUGAUCCUGAUAUUCACUUGUUGUGCAUCAUAUUAUUUUUUCAGUCAAAUUGAAGCCGAAUUUGGGGGAAUAUAUAAAAUUACUUGAUUGUGCACUUCAAGUUAGUGUUAGAUCUAUCUCUGUCCCUGUCUCUCUCUCUCAGUCUCAUAUUAUAAUGCGUAAAUUUGAUCUAUCUCAGGUUGUGACAAGCAUAAAUAUAGAUGGUAAUCUUUCUUAAUUGGUAUUCAUUAAAGGGUACUUGCUUGGUGUACAUGUGGAAACUUGUUUGUACGUUUCUAUUUAAUGUUACAUCUGUUUUGCUUCUUGUACACGUGAAAACUUGUUUGUGCGGUUCUAUUUAAUGUUGCCUCUCUCUCUCUCUCUCUCUCUCUCUCUCUCUCUCUCUCUCUCUUAAUUUGAUAUAUUGUAGGUUUUGCUUACAAGCAUGUAGCCAUCAAAAGGAAAAGGUGAGUUCUUGUCUACGAAUGAAAUUACACAUAAGGUUUGGGAUUUUUUAGUUGGGCUUAAAAGUUGGUCAUUUCAGUGUUAAAAAAAAAAUAUAUGUUCUUUUAAAAAUUUCAAAAUGCGGUCACUGUUUUGGGAACUUUUAUUGUUAGAAUAUAUUUACUUGUCUGAUUAUGCUUCUUAUUUGAAUGCUUAGUUAGAUAUGACAUUGUUGUGCCCUUUAUUAUUUAUUCUUCCACACAAAAAAAAAAAGAAAAAAAAAGAAGGAAGAUUGAUUCUUUUCUUGUAUGCCAAAAGCUUUCUAAAUGGUCUGUUUUUUGGACAAAUUUUUGUGCUGGCCUUUAAUGAUUCUUGCCAAAAGCAAAAGCCUAUUAUCAUUAUUCCCUAAUGAAAUUUAGACUUUAUUAUAGUUUAUGGCAAGAUUCAUUUGACAAUGUGCUUUACACAAUUUUUAUUAGAUAUGGUCAGUCUCCUGAGCAAUUCAAGAUUGUGAUUCUUAAAAUUCAUGCAUAUUUCACGGUAUGAAAAUUUCCUCUUUAAUUUUUAUCUGCAAAGUUGUAUCAUAGUUCUACUAGCACACAACGAGGAAUAUCCUUUACAUUGUACUGUUGAAUACUGCGAUAAACUGAUGUUAGAAUAUAUAUAUAUAUAUAUAUAUAUUGUAUGUUAGUUCUAUGCCCCUUAAUUUUAUCUUUUUGUUAGUUUAAACCAUUUAUGAAGAUGUUACUUUAUAAUUAUUCAACAACAUAUUAGAAUAUAACCUGCCCUAUUAGCCUUGUUUUCUGAUCCAAUCUCUUAAUCGGAUUGUAUGCAGUCAGUUAUAUAUUACCUUUCCAAUUAAAUAUACCCAGUCAACUACUUCAUUAAUGGACACCUGGAUGGCAUCUCAUUUGAAGAAAAAAUGGAUUUCUAAAGGUUGCUGAUUUCAUGUUUAGGGCAUUUUCCAUUGUGAACCAUCUUUUUUGAACUCUUAGGAGAAACUCAUGUUUUUCUUUGACUUUUCCCAUUCUUAUUUUACUGGAUAAAAAUCAGGAGAAUAAAAAUCAGGAGACGUAGUGCCAAUUCCCAUACUGUAUUUAUGUUUAAAUUAACUCAAGAUUUUUGGGCUUUCACUUGGAGAGAAACAGACAGGGAGGGACAAUUAAUUUUUGUGGCCAAAACCAAAAAGACACAAGGGAUUCCUACUUCAUAGUUUAUACUGCAUGAUGGAUUUGAUUUGCUAUCGUACCUGACCUUAUGGGAUUGAUGACUUAAUUGUCCUAAUUUAAUGGCUUUGGAUAUGUAGUUUACCAAAUAUGGAGCUGCUUUAUUUUACAGCUAAUUAUUUUCAAAAUACAGCAGAAGCAACUUUUUUUAAAAGUGACAGCAAUUCCAACUAGAGGUGUCAAACGGGACGAGCUGGCCCAACACGACAUGAUCCCAGCCCGUUUAAAUGAGACACGGCACAGAAACCCUUUUUUUUUAUAUAAUCAUAAACAUAUAUUUGAUGUCUUUCAUUGUAGGAAAAUUACUUAGGUCCUUAAUUAAUUAAACAUAUCAACUACAAAUUAAUUAAACAACAUUGGACUUGAUAUCUAAUCAAUACAUAUGACAUAUACACUUCUCUUAUAAUCAAAGCAAGACAUUAAUUCACAUAUAAAAUAAUAAGUUGUUUAAAGAUGAAAAGUUAAAGUGGACUUUGUGGAGUUGGACACUUUUUUCCCCCAACCCCUUUAUAUUGUUUGGAUGUUUGAUUGAUUAAUGUUUUUAAGUAGUUCAUUAUUUUUUGCCUCUAAUUAUAUUUUUAAUGUUUAUCAUUUGAAUUAUCUAGUGGGCAAAAAAAAAAUCAAGUGAAAAAAAUUCAAAUUAAAUGGGUUAGUUCUUGGGCCAGUUUUGCGAGUUUUACUUUUUAUAAGAUUCCUUCUUUACUAAUUCAAAAAUUGGAUUUAAUGUUGUGAUCCACACAAUGUUUAUUGUUUAUCAAAUCUUUGAUAAGUGCUCCUUCGAGGUAUUCUGUCCCUUCCCCAUGCCACUUUUUUUGUUUCUUUAAUUGCUUGAGUAUUCUUUCAUAUAGAAGUAUUUCUGAAUGAUGUAAAGUUCUUUUGAAUUCCGCAUAGGACUAAAGUAGGAGUACAAAACAUAUAAAGGUACGACAUAUCAAUAUAUAAAGAGCAUAACAGCAUUAUGGUCUAUUUUCUGAAUACUAUUUUUGUAUAGUGUUUGUUAAAGAAGAGUCACGAUAUAUUUAUAGAAAUAUUUUAGUGGAAAUUAUUUAUUCUAUGAUGUGUCAUCACAUGUCCUGCUGGCUGCCACUAGGUAUUGUGUUACACACGACAUAUAAAUAGAUACCUCAUGGAAAUUAACAAUUCUUAGAAAGAAAGAAAGAAAGAAAAAAAAAUAUAUAUUCCGCAUGUGAUAGGACCCAGCGAUCUCUACCUUAACUCUAUGCUUAUACAGGAAACCAAUCUUGAUAUUAUUGUAACAAAAUCCAAAAUACAAGCCGUCUUGCUUUGCACAACUAAUCAGUAUUUAUACUGACUUGCAAACUAAGACUUAGUUAAACCAACUCACUGAAUAAUUCUCCACUAAUAACCAAUACAUCUAACAACAUGACACGUGUGCCACUAAUAACAUGCCAACUUAUAGGACUCUAUCAGCAUGAGUAGCAAUUUUUCUUUUGUGAAGUUACCUGAACUUGGUCAUUAUUUAAUUUGAUUUACCCUAGUAAGGAUCAAGUUUUGGAGGCCUGUGUGGGUGAAUACAACUAGAAUAGAAUGAUAGUUGCAGGCCCUGCUGGUUAAUAGUUGAUACAAUCUGGAUGUAUUUCCCUUGCUUAUUCCACCUGGUGGCAAAAGAAACUUUUACACGAAUUUAUUGUCUCUGGUUUAACCUUAUCACCGAUCCCUUUAUGUGAGCCAUGGUUGGCUGAUUCUGUGUUUACAAUCAAUACUUACAGGCCCUUCUACAGAGGACAAUUAACGACUACAAAAGUGCCGGCCAUGAUCCCAAGUCAAGCAGUUUAGAGAUUCGAUUAAUCCAAAGUCAGAACGACAUUCGUAACCCUGAAAUUAAAUUCAGAACUGAAAGAUACACUUAAAAUAGUUGAUAUGUACGGGACAUGGUAUAUGUAAUUUACCAUGAUCGUUUGAAAACUGUUACCCAAUGCUAUCACCAUGAAAGUUGGAUACAUUUUCUUUUCUUUCGAAAUAUGCACAUGGAUAUAGGCAGAGAUGCAGCCAACUGACAGAUGCUCAUCUUUUUUGUUCCAUAGUUGUUAGGGCUUCUGGUUUUGAUACUUUUGGUGGGGCAACAAUUUGGACAAAUUUACUGCUCUUGGGGUAUCCGUAUUAAGGAUUGUUAAUUUUUUUUUUUGGGCGGGAAAAAAAAAUUGCCAGUCAGUUGAAGUGAAAAGUAAACUCCUCCUUUAAGUGACUUUUGACGCACAAACAUGUGGAUUUUAUUAACAUGAAAAUUUAUAUUUACAUAUUUAAGUGGAUUUUUGACACCCUUCUCUCUCUCUCACUGUGACUUUGAUUGGGUUGCUAUCUCCCUUCAACACCAACCCAAUCUGUUAUAAUUUUUUUUUUUUUUAAUUUUAUAUUUUUGUUUAAAAGUUAUGCAAUAAAUUUUCUAAUUCUCUCCUAAAUUUAAGAAAAAAAAUUCAGGAGCAUUAGUACAAUACAUGUUCUAAUUUGAGGACAUCAUAAUCUAUUAUUGGAAUUUAAGGGAAAAAAUACAAAUCGGGGUAUAAUUGAGUAACCAUUGCCACAAUUUAGCCUUGAAAAGUAUUUAAAAACUCUGUUUUUUUUUUUUUGGGUAUUAAUACGAUGAAAAAGGUGCACCUAUAAUAUCCUUAUUUUAAAAAAAUAGAGGCAUUUAAUUAUAUACAUAUUCUUAGCAUUAGUGAUAUAAAUAAACCCUAUACAAUUUAAUUUCUAUAAACAAGUCCACAAAAAAACAACUGGCCUUAUUGAAUUAAUUUUGAUUAUUAAAUUAUGUUGAGUGUUUUGGGUUUUUUUAUGAGAUUUUGGAGUUUGGUUUGUUUUAAGAAAUUUAUGACAGUUUUGUAAUUUAUAAAAAGUUCGAAGCCUCUUUGUUAUGUUGUAAAUAGACUUUGGGUGUGUUUUUAAAGUCCAUUUUAUGUAGGAUUUUUUAAAUAUAUAAUUUGAGCCCUUAUAAUUUCCCACCCCCACCAAAAACAAUCAACUAAGUAUACUGAAUAUUCAUAAGGAAAUGACGCAUUAUUGAUGCCACAAAUGACGAAUUUCCCACCCUCACAAAAAACAAACCAAACCCAAUUAAAUCAAUCCAGCAAGAGUGAACUUACCUCUCAAAAUCAAUCGGGAGCUCCGAAGUCAGUAAGCUUGAGAGAAUGUGGUGGACAUUAGAGAAGACUCUUUGGUAUUGGAGACUCCAUCUCUACCAAAAUCAAGGAACAAACUGUUGCUGCGGCGUCUAGCUACAAAAAGAGAUAUGCUACUUUGCUUUCAUCUGGAAUCUUGUCUGCUGAACGAAAAAGAGAAGGAGUUUUCACUUGAGCUAUAGAAUCAAAACAGGGCAACAACUAGGUAAAAGCCAUUAAUCGUCAUACUCAGGAUACCAUAGAUCGCGGGCUUCCCAAGGAGCUGAUGACAAUGGAGCGACUAUAGGGUUUGGGAGCUUUGGAUCCUUCUAAUUGUGGGUUUGCGUUACAUUCAAAAAGAGAGGAUUGUGUUCUUGAGUUUUUCACAGAGAGGGAAAGAGCGAAAGAUCUUCAACUGAAGUUGGGUUUCCAACAGGUCAAAUUUCAACCCGGUUCUACAUGCACCCUCUUUUAAAAACUCACCGUUAGAUGAAAUCCAACGGCUUGUACAUACCCCUAAAAAAUACCCCUUAUAACUUUCCACUCACUAUACACUACUACAUUUUACACUUUGCGCGACGAAGAGAAUUUCGUUGCGCAAAAUACAUUGUAGUCGCACAAAUUUCAGCGUGACAAAAACUUCGUCGCGCAGAAUCUGUCGCGCAAAGAUCGUGAAGAAAGACUUUGCGCGACAAAGUUUUUUCAUUGGUCACGCAAAGUGACUUUGCGCGACGAAAAAAUAUUGGUCGCGCAAAGCGACUUUGCGCGACGAAAAAGAUUGGUCGCGCAAAGUGACUUUGCGCGAUGAAAAAUAUUGGUAGCGCAAAGUUGUGCGCGACGAAAUACAUUGGUCGCGCAAAGGUUUGCGCGACGAAAUAUAUUGGUUGUGCAAAGUUUUGCGCGACGAAAAACAUUGGUCACGCAAAGUCUAAAAAAAUUUUAAAAAAAAUCAAAAAUUAUCGCGUCCAAUUUUGGGUACCUGCCCAAAUUUUUUGAGUUUUGCGCGACGAAUACUAACGUCGCGCAAAUAUUUACGCGACGAAAUAUUUUUUGUGUUAAAUUUUUUUAAUUUAAAAUAAACUAAUUUAAUAGUUUGCGCUACGAAAUAUUUUGUCGCGCAAGGUUUUUGACUUUUUGUUUUAUUAUUUCUUUAAUAUGAAUUUUUUCAAAUUUUUACUUUUUAAAUUUAAUUUAAUUGUAUGAUUUCUUUUUAAAAUUACUUUAAUUUAAAUUGAUAUUAAUUUUUACUUUUUAAAUUUAAUUUAAUUGUAUGAUUUUUUUAAUUACUUUAAUUUAAAUUGACAUAUUCAAAAUAAAAUUACAUAUGAAAAAUAGUGAUUAAAUUAUCCAAUAAAUAUAUAUAUAUAUAUAAUAUUCAAAAUGUACACAUAAAUUAACAAAGUAUAAUAAUAAAAUCCUAAUACAAGCGUAUUGUGGUGGUAGUGGCGGAGGAUAUGUUUUGAUAGCUUCCUAAUCCUCAACUUUAGCCGUCAAAGUCUCGAUGAUUCCCUACAAAAAAAAACAAAUAUGGUCAAAUAACCACAAAAAAAAAAAAAAAAAAAAAAAAGGCAUAAUCUCCCCUAAAAUUGUUAUACCACAAAUCCAACCCAAACUCCAAUCCCUCCCCUUUACUCAACCCCAAAACCCACACAAACUCAAAAUUAACUCCAAAAACACAUAUUAAUGAAAAAAAUUUAAAAUUUGGAGAGAAUAUACCUUUUGGCAAGAUUGAGAGUGAAUGAGAAUGAGAGGGAGAAGUGAGUGUGAGAGAAUUAGAGAAGAUAGUGAUAGAGAGAUGAGAGAGUGAAUGAGAGAUAGUGAAGAGAGAGAUGAGAGAUUAAGUGAGAGGAGUGAGUGAGAGAAAUGGUGGGAUUUGGGGAGAGGGAAAGAGAAAGGAGAGGUAAGAGUAGAGAAAGGGAUUGAGAAAAUGGUGGAUGAGUUAUUUCGGUUUUAAAAACCGUAUCACUUUGCGCGACGAAAAAUAUUGUUGGUCGCGCAAAGUUUUGCGCGACGAAUCAUAUUGGUUGCAACGAAAAAUAUUGGAAUAUUGAUCGCGCAAAGUUUUGCGCGACGAAUCAUAUUGGUUGCGCAAAGUCUAAAAUAAUUAUUUAAAAAAAAUAAAAAUCCCCGCGUCCCAUUUUUGGUACUCGCCAAAAUUUUUAAAUUUUUGCGCGACGAAAAUAGGAAUAUUGGUCGCGCAAAGUCUAAAAAAUUAUUUAAAAAAAUGAAAAUUCCCGCGUCCCAUUUUUGGUACCCGCCAAAAUUUUUAAAUUUUUGCGCGACGAAUAUAGGAAUAUUGGUCGCGCAAAGUCUAAAAAAAUUAUUUAAAAAAAUAAAAAUCCCCGCGUCCCAUUUUUGGUACCCGCCAAAAUUUUUAAAUUUUUGCGCGACGAAAAAUACAUACUGGUUGCGCAAAGUCUAAAAAAAUUCCCGCAUCCGAUUUUUGGUACCCGCCCAAAUUUUUGCGAGACGAAAAAUAUAUAUUGGUCGCGCAAAGUUUUGAGCGACAAAAAAUAUUGGUCGCGCAAAGUCUAAAUUUUUUUUAUUUUUUUUUUAAAAUCCCGCGUCCCAUUUUUGGUACCCGUCCAAAUUUUUAGAGUUUUGCGCGACAAACUGUUGGUUGCGCAAACUUUUGAGAGACGAAAAAUUGGUUCGUAACACAAUAUUUAUAAAAAUAAUUGUUAUGAAUAAUAAAAAUAAAAAUAUUUUAUUUUACAAUUUAAAAUAUAAAUAAGGUUAAAGCUGCUUAAUAAAUAUAUAUACUAUUCAAUUUCUUAAGUGUUAUACGUACAAAAUAAAUAAAUUUAAAGCUACUUAAUAAAUAAAUAUAUAUACACACACCAUUCAACGAUCCAACUGUCAGACUUAUUUGUAUAUACUUCAAGAUCGUAUACCCCAAAAAUCGCAAAAAACAAACAUUCAGAGAUCUAGUAACGAGACAAAACUUUUCGAUGGUUAUAAAUGAAAAAUUACGAUUUAACGGUUAUUUUAACUCCGAUUUUGAUGAUUUUUUUUACAGCUACACUCCUUGACCAUAUAUGAAUACAAUGACUGAAUUUGAUCUUCAAUUUAAAAUAUUUACACUAGUGGAUACCACAAAAUCUUAUGUUAUAUCUAACGAACAUAUAAAUAACCUCUUAAUUGUUAGUGAAUAUAUUGUUUUGAUGGCAUAUGCAUUCACCAAAACUAGUUUCAACGAUCCAACCGUCAAACUUGUUUGUUUAUACUUCGAGAUCAUAUACGCCAAAAAUCGGAAAAAAUAAACAUUCAGAGAUCAAGUAAUGGGACAAAACGUUUUGACGGUUAUAAUGAAAAAUCACGAUUUAACGGUUAUUUUAACUCCGAUUUUGAUGAUUUUUUACAGCUACACUCCUUGACCCUAUAUGAAUACAAUGACUGAAUUUGAUCUUCAAUUUAAAAUAUUUACACUAGUGGAUACCACAAAAUCUUAUGUUAUAUUUAACGAAAGUAUAAAUAAACUCUUAAUUGUUAGUGAAUAUAUUGUUUUGAUGGCAUAUGCAUACAAAAAAACUAGUUUCAACGAUCCAACCGUCAAACUUGUUUGUUUAUACUUCGAGAUCAUAUACACUAAAAAUCGAAAAAAAAAUAAACAUUCAGAGAUCAAGUAAUGGGACAAAACUCUUCGACUGUUAUAAUGAAAAAUCACGAUUUAACGGUUAUUUUAACUCCGAUUUUGAUAAAUUUUUAAAGCUACACUCCUUGACCCUAUAUGAAUACAAUGAACUAAUUCGAUCGUCAAUUUAAAAUAUAUAUUUUCUAACAAAAACCCAAUCCGAACAACAAUAAUAUAUUUUUCUAACAAAAAUCCGAUCCGAUCUAAAAUAAUAAACUUAAAGCUACUUAAUAAAUAUAUAUACCGUUUAAUUUCUUAAGUGUUAUGCAUACAAAAUAAAAAACAAAAAUAAAUUGGUUUAGGUGACAAAAUGUUUGGAUUACGUCAUGCAAAGAUUUUAAAAAAUAAUUUUUUAUUUUUAUUUAUUUUUAUAAGGACUUUGCGCGACGAAGUUUACUUUUCGUCUCGCAAAGUCACUUUGAGCGACGAAUUAUUUUUCGUUGCGCAAAAUUGAUCGCGCAAGACUUUGAGCGACGAUGUAUUGUCGUCGCGCAAAAGUUUGUCACGCGAAGUGACUUUGCGCGACGAAUUAUCUUUCGUCGCGCAAAAUUUGGUCGCGCAAGACUUUGAGUGACGAAGUUUCAAGUUUCGUCGCGCAAAGUGACUUUGAGCGACGAAUAAUUUUUUGAUUUUGGUCGCGUAAGGGGGUUUUUUUUACUAGUGGAUCUAGUUUGGGGUUGCUAUUGCUUAUUGGGUACAACUUUGGUACUCAGUCCUUCAAUAUUUUCAAAUAAACAUUGAAUUCUUCCAAGACACCGGCUAUAUUGAAUUCUUCCAAGCCAUGGUGUCUUGGGAUGGUCUGAUAUUUGAAAUGGUAUCUUCUAACAUCUGUCCCCAAUUGCAUAUUGUUGAUGCUCCGACACUUUUGGGCUCAAUUUAGUGAUGAUGUCAUCUUCGAUUUCGCAUGAUCUUCAGCAAAGCGAUUGAUUUGCAAGACAAAGAAUGCUUGUGGUACCGGCCAAAGGUUCUCCGAUGCUUAGAUUAGAAUAAGUAUUGAGUGAAUAGUGAUCUGGACAGAGUAUUGAUUGAUUCGUCAAAUAUGGUGUAAACACAUAUGAAUACUAGUUUUAAAAUUCAUUAUUAUAAUAUUGAUUCCUUUCCUAUCCAAUAGUGCCGAAUUUUGAUUUUGAUUUCUUGGGAGGGUAUGGAAUCACUUUCACCACUAAUAAAAUCCUCAAACAAAUAUAUUCAACAAUUCCGCCUUUUGUACCAGAAAUAGUAAUCAAUAUUUCUGCAGAUUAAUUUUUUGAGAGGAUCACCAACUGGACUACUAAGAAAAUAAAUUCAUGUACAGGGGUGACAGCCUGGAGCAAGCACAAACUCUUCUGGCUGGCCUUCUGGAACCCUCUAUCCUCUCUAUAAAUUGAUCCAACCCUGAGGUGGUUUAUGCACAUUAAAAAACUCUUACACUUUGUGUCGGGAUUCAUUAGGGAUUUUAGCUUCUAAUGAUUAAGGAGAUGGUAAUUGGGAUGUGUAGAGUAGCUCCAGAAAUCCUAGAUGAAGAUGAAGACGAUACUGAUAAAGAACCUGACGUUCCCAAGCAUCAAUCGAAUUGGCGAUUCACCAGAAUCAGGUAUCUUUAACCUAAACGGCCCUCUCAGCAUUUCGUCACUUGUAUACCUUUCUUCAAUCUGUGCUUUUAGGGUUUGGUUCAUUUCUAUCUAUUUUUUUAUUUUCUUUUGUCUGGUAGAGUAGAUAGACCUGAUGAUAUUGUAUUACUAGAUCUGAUUAACAAAAAUCUCGAAAAUGUUUUAGACAGUGUGUGACAUUUAAAUUAAUGUUUUACAAAACAUGCCAGGUAUCUUGUUUUGUUGGGGUUCAAGUUUCUGGAUUUUAAAACUCAUAUGCUUAUGCUUGAAAGUCCAAAAUAUCUUAAUUAGCGCGGCUAUUAGAUGAAUUUUGGUUUCAAAAUUGUUUAAAAUUCUACAUAUACCUUAGAAUUAAUAGUACAUAGGCCAAGGCCAUCUCGGUCCUUUUUUUUGUUUUGUUUUGUUUUUUUUCUUGUUUGCUUUUUUCCUAAACAAUGAGUGGGGAUGGCUACCUGUGUGAAAGGCAUUUUCGGCUUCAUACUUGGUUGUGUACCAUUCCACAACACUUUAACCUAUAUAGAGAAAUAAGGAAUGAGUCAAAUUUUUGCAGUAUAACACAAAAUUAAGGGGCUGGGAAUAAUUUAUUUUUUAAAAAAAAGAACAAUUUAAACCAAAAUUUAAAGAAUUAAUUCAAAAAUAAUAUUCAAAUGGAAUCAUUUCACAUUUAUUAAACUUUACUUGAAAAAUUAUGAUUAACCAAAAAAAGAACUUCAAAGGUACAGAAAAAAUUCAAAAGAAAUCCACACACGCACAAGCAGAUACAGAAGGAAGAUAACUCCAAAAACCUAACCAUUCACAAAGCAAAAAAUAAAAAGCAGGUAGCCCAUUGUUUCUCGAAACCGUUCUAAAACCCUCUUUCCUGUUGAAAUAUAAGUGAUGAGCUGAUGAGAGUUUGAUAAAGUCCCUAAGCUGAAAUGGUGUAUUCACUUAGUCUCUAAAAUAGGCAAGUGUGAGGCGUCAGUUAGUGUUAAGUGGCUAUAGCCACGUGUAAAGAUCUUAGAAGGCAGUUUUGGAUGUAAGGCUGUGAUUCUCAAGUGAUGUAAGAGAAUCCAGCUAUUUCUCUAACGGGCAUAUAGCACACACUGUGCUUGCCCGAAAGUUUCAGAAUAUACAAUACAAAAAAUACAGAAGUUUUGUUUUUAGCUAAGCUCUCAGUUUUCUCUUGCAUACUGUUUUCUCUUCUUCUCCAAAACCUAUACAAAACUCUAACAUGGCCUCAGAGCCAGGUUGGGUCUCUUGAUCUGGGCGUAAAACUGUGAAGGUCACUGAGCUCAAUCGAAGCUCAGCUGAACAUCUGAGAAGAGAAGCUGCUGUGAUUCAGACCAAACGAUGGCUGGAUCUGGAAGUUCAGACGUACGAACUCCAAUCUUUUCCGGUGAGAACUACGAGUUCUGGAGGAUCAAGAUGGUGACAAUCUUCAAAUCGCUUGGGCUGUGGAGUUUGGUAGAAAAGGGGAUUCCAGUCUCUGAUUCGAAGAUGAAGACCAAGAAAGUUGAAGAAUCAUCGGAGGAAGAAGCUGAAGCAGAGAUGUGUGCUGUGCUCAUGAAGGAUGCAAAGGCACUGGGCAUCAUACAAAACGCUGUCUCUGACCAGAUCUUCCCUCGGAUUGCAAAUGCCGAUUCAGCAAAAAUGGCUUGGACUCUGCUCUACAGUGAAUAUCAUGGAGGUGAUCAGGUUAGAUCUGUAAAGCUUCAGAAUCUUAGACGAGAAUUUGAGUAUAUGAGGAUGCGUGAAGGUGAACAACUUUCUGCAUAUCUUACUCGAUUAAAUGAAUUGAUAAAUCAAAUGAAAACAUUUGGAGAGGUGUUAUCAAACGAGAGGCUGGUUCAAAAGGUGUUAAUCAGUCUUAGUAGAGUUUAUGAUCCCAUCUGUUUGGUGAUUGAAAAUACAAAGAGUUUGGAGACCAUUGAAUUGCAGGAGGUUGUUGCAAUAUUGAAAAGUCAAGAGCAACGUUUUGACAUGCAUAAUGUGGACAUAGCUGAGAAAGCAUUUGGUUCUUUCUCAAUCGAUCAAAAGGGGCAGAACAAGAAUAAUGCUCAGUCUGGUACUGCCAAGUCUCAGAAGAGUUGGAAGCCUAACAACAAACCAUGGGAGUCUAGACAGAAGCCACAGCAAGCUGGCGCUGGACAGACUUCAAAUGGAGCACAUUCUGUGCAGCAAGAUAGGGUGAAGCCUCAAUGCAAGGUCUGCUCUAAAUUUCACUAUGGAGAAUGCAGAUAUAAGGGUCAAUCCAAGUGCUAUAAGUGUGAUAGAUUUGGACAUUGGGCCAGAGACUGCACUGCAAACAAAGGAGGACAGAAAGCAAAUAAUGCAAGCCAAGUAGAAGUAAGAGGGAAUCUGUUUUUUGCAAACUGUGCAAUUUCAGACAAGGGUGAAAAUGGAGAAUGGUAUGUAGACAGUGGCUGCAGUAACCACAUGACUGGGAAGAAGGAGCUGUUAAUUGACAUAAACUCAAAAGUCACAGGCAAGGUGCAAAUGCCAACAGGGGAGCUUGUAAGUAUAGCCGGCAUGGGCACUUUGGUGCUUGACACAAACUCUGGUGCAAAGUAUAUCAGAGAGGUCAUGUAUCUGCCUGGUUUGAGAGAAAAUCUCUUGAGUGUGGGCCAAAUGGAUGAACAUGGUUAUCAUUUGGUAUUUGGGAGCAGCAUGUGCAGCAUCUAUGAUAGUUCUUCUCUUGAGAACCUUGUUAUGAAGGUGGAAAUGAGAAAGAAUAGAUGUUAUCCACUAUCAUUACCCUCAAAUGAUUUUGUUGCACUAAGAGCUGGUGUAGUCAACUCUACUUGGGUUUGGCAUAAAAGAAUGGGGCAUUUACACUUGAAAGGCCUAAACCAACUCAAGGAAAAGGAGAUGGUACAUGGGCUGCCACAUUUGGAAACUGUAAAUGAAGUGUGUGAAGGCUGCCAAUUAGGAAAACAACACAGAGAGUGGUUUCCUAAAGAUCAAGCAUGGAGAACUAGUACACCUCUUGAACUUAUUCACAUGGACUUGUGUGGACCAAUGCAAAAUGAAUCUCUAGGAGGUAACAAAUAUUUCAUGUUACUCAUAGAUGAUUUUACAAGGAUGAUUUGGGUCUACUUCUUGAGAUACAAGUCGGAUGCACUAAAUUGUUUUCGAAAAUUCAAGUCUAUGGUGGAGUUGCAAAGUGGUUACAAAGUGAAAUGUGUUCGAAGUGAUAGAGGUGGUGAGUUCACUUCUAGUGAAUUCAAUAAACUAUGUGAAGAUGCAGGGAUUCAAAGACAAUUCUCCAUGGCUUACACACCCCAGCAAAAUGGAGUGGUAGAGAGGAAAAAUAGGACUGUGGUAGAGAUGGCUAAGGCUAUGUUGCAUGAGAAGGAGCUGCCCUAUUAUCUAUUGGCAGAAGCUGUCCACACAGCAGUGUACAUCUUGAAUAGAUGUCCUACCAAGGCUCUUAGGGACAAGACUCCUUUUGAGGCCUAUAGCACCAGAAAACCAGGUGUUGCUCAUUUAAAAGUGUUUGGCAGUGUGUGUUUUGUGCAUAAACCAGAGGAGAAUAGACAGAAAUUGGAUGCCAAAAGCACAAGGGGAGUUUUUGUUGGAUAUGCAACAUGUGAGAAGGGCUAUAGAGUGUUUGAUCCUAUCACUAGAAAACUACUCUUAUCAAGGGAUGUUGUAUUUGAUGAAGAAACAAGCUGGAAUUGGAAGGAAGUGUCUGACAAUUCUGUGGUUAUGAUGAACUUUGAGGAGCAGCCUAGAAAUUCUCAAGUGGAUUCGUUUGAGACACCUAUAGGGCCUCAAAAUUCUGGUUUCACUGCUGGAAACUCAGCAGCUUCCUAUGGAGAAUCAAGCAAGGAAAGCAGUAGGUUGGAUGAUACUCAGACCUUCGAUCAUACACCAUUGAAAUGGAGGAAGUUGGAUGACAUUUUGGCACAAUGCAACCUAUGCACAAUGGAGCCUGAGAAGUUUGAAGAAGCUGUGAAGGAGGAAUCAUGGCNNNNNNNNNNNNNNNNNNNNNNNNNNNNNNNNNNNNNNNNNNNNNNNNNNNNNNNNNNNNNNNNNNNNNNNNNNNNNNNNNNNNNNNNNNNNNNNNNNNNNNNNNNNNNNNNNNNNNNNNNNNNNNNNNNNNNNNNNNNNNNNNNNNNNNNNNNNNNNNNNNNNNNNNNNNNNNNNNNNNNNNNNNNNNNNNNNNNNNNNNNNNNNNNNNNNNNNNNNNNNNNNNNNNNNNNNNNNNNNNNNNNNNNNNNNNNNNNNNNNNNNNNNNNNNNNNNNNNNNNNNNNNNNNNNNNNNNNNNNNNNNNNNNNNNNNNNNNNNNNNNNNNNNNNNNNNNNNNNNNNNNNNNNNNNNNNNNNNNNNNNNNNNNNNNNNNNNNNNNNNNNNNNNNNNNNNNNNNNNNNNNNNNNNNNNNNNNNNNNNNNNNNNNNNNNNNNNNNNNNNNNNNNNNNNNNNNNNNNNNNNNNNNNNNNNNNNNNNNNNNNNNNNNNNNNNNNNNNNNNNNNNNNNNNNNNNNNNNNNNNNNNNNNNNNNNNNNNNNNNNNNNNNNNNNNNNNNNNNNNNNNNNNNNNNNNNNNNNNNNNNNNNNNNNNNNNNNNNNNNNNNNNNNNNNNNNNNNNNNNNNNNNNNNNNNNNNNNNNNNNNNNNNNNNNNNNNNNNNNNNNNNNNNNNNNNNNNNNNNNNNNNNNNNNNNNNNNNNNNNNNNNNNNNNNNNNNNNNACAACUCUGUUGAGCAGAUUUGGCUUGAUUGAGUGUAAGCCGGUUUCUAUUCCACUAGUCACCUCAGAGAAGCUAAGUAAAGAUGAUGGGAGUGGCUUGGCAAGUGAAGAACACUACAGAAGGAUUGUUGGAAGUCUGCUGUACCUCACAGCUACCAGACCCGACAUUAUGUUUGCAGCUAGUUUGCUAGCAAGGUUCAUGCAUUGUCCCACUAGCAAACAUUUUGGAACAGCAAAACGUGUUCUUAGAUAUGUGAAAGGGACUCUAGAUUAUGGUCUGGAGUAUGUGAAAGGAAAAGGGCCAGUUCUAAUUGGCUAUUGUGACAGUGAUUGGAGUGGUUCAGUGGAUGAUAGCAAGAGCACUUCUGGAUAUGCUUUUUCUUUUAGUAGUGGAGUGUUUGCUUGGGCCUCAGUCAAGCAAAAUUGUGUUGCACUCUCCACUGCAGAAGCGGAGUACAUCAGUGCAUCUGAAGCAACAACACAAGCUAUUUGGUUGAGGUUUGUCCUAGAAGAUUUUGGAGAGCUUCAAGCAGAAGCAACUCCUCUACACUGUGACAACAUUUCAGCCAUUGCCAUUACAAGGAAUCCUGUGUUUCACCAGAAAACAAAACAUAUCGAUCGGAGGUAUCAUUUUAUUAAAGAUGCUUUGCAAGAAGGAACUGUGGAUCUGAUUUAUUGUCCCACAAAUGAGCAACUAGCAGACAUUUUUACUAAGGCAUUGGCUAAGGAUCGUUUCUGCUAUCUCAGAGAGAAACUUGGUGUGAAAUCAGCUCACAACUUAAAGGGGAGUGUUGAAAUAUAAGUGAUGAGCUGAUGAGAGUUUGAUAAAGUCCCUAAGCUGAAAUGGUGUAUUCACUUAGUCUCUAAAAUAGGCAAGUGUGAGGCGUCAGUUAGUGUUAAGUGGCUAUAGCCACGUGUAAAGAUCUUAGAAGGCAGUUUUGGAUGUAAGGCUGUGAUUCUCAAGUGAUGUAAGAGAAUCCAGCUAUUUCUCUAACGGGCAUAUAGCACACACUGUGCUUGCCCGAAAGUUUCAGAAUAUACAAUACAAAAAAUACAGAAGUUUUGUUUUUAGCUAAGCUCUCAGUUUUCUCUUGCAUACUGUUUUCUCUUCUUCUCCAAAACCUAUACAAAACUCUAACAUUUCCUACCUAUAAAUUUAUCCAACCUUGAUGUUUCUGCAUAAACAAAAACUCUUCAGCCCUUGCUUGCGAGUGACUUGGUAAUUAGGAUGUGUAGGGUAGCUUCAGAAAUCCUAGGUGGUGAAGAUGAAGAGGAAAGCAAUGCUGAUGAUGAACCCGACUGUUUUCAUAAAUCGAAUGUGUCAUUCACCAGAGGUAUAUACACUUAUAUAUAGAUAAACACUGGACGCCCUUUUAAGCAUUUCUUCAUCCCCUUCUUCAAUCUGUGCUUUUUGUCCCAAUCAAGCUGGUGUUGUUAGAGGCUGACUUCCAAUGUUGGGACUGCUGAGAGUAUUUUUCCUUAAUUAUAUUGAAAAGUUAAGGGACACAGUAUGAGUACAAGGAAUUGAGUUACUACUCCUUAUUACUAAUUAAUUGGUUUUAAAGUGGAACCUCAACUCAACUUUAUAAUAUUAUAGCAGAAACGAUAAUCAACCCCUUUUUUGUCAAUAGUAUUAUACUAAUUUUCAUAUGUCAUGACAAAUUUGGAUUAAUAUGACUAAUUUGGCAGAAGAAGGAUGCCUAUUUGUCUUGUUAAAGUAAUCUUAAAAUAAUAUAUACCCAGUUGACAUCAUCUUUUUGUAACCCAAUUGUAUUCCAAAUCUAAAGCAAAAGGUUGCUGUUUGUACAAGAAUUUGUACUUGUUGGCUAAAUUCUUUAUUCUAGGUAAAAUACAUGGUUUAGAGGCCAAAUCAUGAAAUAUACAAUUUCGCCCAACGUUAUACAGAGGUUGGAGACCAUUUUCAGUAAGGAAAAUUGGUGUGAGACGUGUGUGACAAGGGCAUCAUGGUGUGCAUGCAAAUUUUUGAUAUUCUUUUUGUAAGAAAGAAUAUUAAAAUAAAGGAAAGAUGAGGAUUUUGGAGGAAGCACACGAAGUGUUACACCAAAGGAGAAGGUAAAGUGUAGAAAAGGCAAGUGGAGGAUGAUAAAAGAAUGAUUAAACAAAGGGAAAAGAAGGAAAGAGAUGGAAAUAAGAAAAUACAUGAUGUGAUAAUUUAUGUCAUCAUUGUAUAUUAACAAAUGAAAUAAAGCAUGCAAGUGGUUACAAGUUCAAAAAUUUGUCCAAUUUAUGGCCAAAAUAUUCUCUCCCUUCACAACUUUUUGACUAAAUUCAGUAACAUUCACGAUUAUUUCAUCUAAAAACAGGCUGGACAUGUACUAUUUAAUGUCCACGAGGCAGAAUAGUCAAGAGGGUUGGGGACUCAACGGUAAAUCGCAGUUCUGCAUGGCCUCAAAGGUCUUUUACCUAUCCCAAUCAAUUUUAAAAGUCAUGGUUGAGAGUCAUUUAAGGAUAUCAAUUGACAAGGAGCCAAAAAUAUAUAUUUGGUUGUUAAUUUUUAUCAUAUUUCGGCAUUGAGGAGGAGUAAUCGAAGCUGGAAGGGGUUUUCUUUAUCACACUUAUCUGUUAGUGGCGAGUGGAGAAUGCUUUCUAAUUGUUAUUCUUCAAAUAUCUAAUGACCAUCAUCAUAUUUCCCUAUCUAUUGCAAUUUAAGUAAAAAGGAAGAAGAGAUAAAAGGUGGAGGACCAUCCACAAAUAUUGACAAUGCGUGUGAGAAUGAAAAGUUGGUGGAGAAGAGUUAACCAAAGAAUGCAAUAAACAAAUAUUAUUUCAUCAAAGUGAUGAAGCAAUGUUUGUACAAUUGCUUUUGCAUGAGCCGAAAGUUACAUGCAAUCAUCCAAUCAAUAGAUUAGACAAUAUUUCUUUAUUGAAAGAACCAAGUGCAUGGACAGCCAAGAGAAGGAGCAUUUUUGCUCACCACUUUAACUCAAUGUGUAUCCUCACCACCCUUCUUAUAACUGGACACUUGUCCAUACUUUUAACCAUAGUUAACUCUCUGAUUUUAAAUCUUUUAAGUAUUUAAAAUUAAAAAUCAAAGUAAAAUAAUAAUUAAAUAAGAUUAUUAAAAAAAAAACUAAAAAAAAAAACUCUCUCUUAUUCUUUCUCCCCCAUUCCCGACGAGACCUACCCCCACCAGCUGUUGAGAGUGUUUGUUCCACUUUUCUUGUGAAGGAACUUCAGACCGGGGCAACAGUGCUCAAGGGACAAACUAAAGAUGGUGUAUAUGAGUGGCCAACCUCCUCCCCUUUGAUUGCCUUCUCCGCCACAAAGACCACAUCUUCCGACUGGCACCAUCGCUUAGGACAUCCUGCUUUUCCCAUUCUCAAACAUAUUGUUUCCAGCAAUUCCUUAGGCGUAUCUUCCUCUCUGUCAUCUGAUUUUUCAUGUAAUGCUUGUCUUUGCAAUAAAAGCCACAAAUUGCCUUUCUCCACCUCUACAAUUGUCUCUACUCAACCUCUUGAAAUUAUAUUCUCCGAUGUCUGGACAUCUCCAAUUUACUCACAUAACGGCUUUAAAUAUUAUGUAAUCUUCAUUGAUCAUUUCACUAAAUAUAUCUGGUUUUACCCACUCAAAAACAAAUCUGAUGUCAAAGAAGUCUUCAUAAGAUUCAAAGCCAUUGUAGAGAAACACUUCCAUUCAACCAUCAAAACACUUUAUUCUGACAAUGGUGGUGAGUACAUUUCCCUAUCUAAUUUUCUUUCCACCAAUGGUAUCUCUCAUCUCACCACUCCCCCUCAUACACCUGAACACAAUGGUUACUCCGAAAGAAGGCACCUUCACAUUGUCGAAACCAGUCUUGCCCUUCUCACUCAUGCUUCUUUACCAAUCUCUUACUGGACUUAUGCCUUUGCCACAGCCGUCUACCUCAUCAAUAGAAUGCCCACUCCCACCUUAAAUCUCUCCUCCCCUUACCACAAAAUCUUUCAGAUAGCCCCAAACUACUCGAAAUUAAAGGUUUUUGGUUGCUUAUGCUACCCUUGGCUCAAACCUUACACUUCCCACAAACUAGAACCACGGUCCAAGCCGUGUGUUUUCCUUGGGUACUCUCUCACUCAAAGUGCAUACUAUUGCCUUGAUCCUUCAACCUCAAGAAUUUAUGUCUCAAGACAUGUCAAAUUUGUUGAAUCGCAGUUUCCCUACUCUUCACUGUCUGGUCCGCCCUCUACUCAUCAUCCCAAUCCCAUUGCCAAUUGGUCUUGGGGUGGAACCUCAACUUCCUUCAUGGUAUCAGAGCAAGGCUUCACGUGUUGGGCCCAACGGCCACACGUGUUGGGCCCAACGGCCACACGUGCUCCCACGUCACCCAAUAUGUGUUGUCCACGUGAUAGGCUUGAAAGUUCGCCACACGUGCGGGGGCGUGUUGAGAGUGUUUGUCCCACAUUGAAAUGUUAAGGGACGUAGCCUGGGUUUAUAAGGAGUUGAGCUACUCCCCCCCAUAGCCAAUUGGUUUUGGGGUGGAACCUCAACUUCCUUCACCAGCAACCCCAGCCAUCUCCCCCACAUCGUUCAACCUCAACCAUGCACCUCACCACAACAACCACCCACACCGACAAGACUCGAUAGGGGUUCGUCAACGACGCAGUGACUGGAUUCGUCAGAGAAGAACCAUCGGGAGACCCUAUCGGACCAAAUUCAAAGGGUCAACGAACAACUGGCAUUCAACUUGGUCUUAUUGGAGUCGAAGCAAGCGGGGGGUUGUUCUUGAGAGGGAAAAGGAAGAGCCUAAGCCUUGCCGGCUUAGCAAAAAGAGAGAUAGUGUCGGUCGUACUCGAUGAUCAUGUAGUUGAGGUCCUUGUCGUUGGUGACGGAGAUGAAGGCGUCGAGAUCUUCGCCAGGGACCUGGUACUUAAAGCAAACGACAUUGUUCAAGGUGUCACAGAAUGAGGCAACUUGGAAGCGGAAGCGGAGAGCUUAAUGUUGCGAUCUACGAUGCUGAUUUUGGUGUCGUCGCUGACGUAUACGAGCUAGUGGUCGUACAGGCAAGGCUGGUUGGGGUGGGUCUCGUCGAGAAGUGGGGAGAGAAGGAUAAUUUUUAUUUAUUUAUUGUUAUUUGAUUAUUAUUUUACUUUAUCUUUUAAUUUUAAAUACUUAAAAGAUUAAAAAUCAAAGAGUUAACUAUGGUUAUAAGUAUGGACAAUUGCCAAGUUAUAAGAAAGGUGGUGAUGAUACACAUUGGGUUAAAAUGGUGAGCAAAAAUGCUUCCCCCAAGAGGAGAAAGAAAAUAAAAAUUAGAACACUAGCAGUGAUAAGGAUUGAACAGACAAGAAGUAGUAUUAUCUUUUGGUUUCUUUAUUAUAAAAGAAUAUGGGUGUGCAUCAUCCAAGUGUAGAAAUAAUGAUAGUCAAUGCACCAAAAUAUCAAGAAGGCAGCAUAUAUAGUAGGGGUGGGCACGGUCCGGUUUGGACCGGUUUUCUCAUAAAAUUAGAACCUGGACCGAAAAUGAAGACCGGUUCGGUCCGGUCCGGUUUUGACAAAAAUCCAUGAAUGAGCCCGAACCAAUCCGGACCUACCCGGUUCCGGUUCGGUUCCCGGUUCUCACGGUUUUGGGCUUGUUGUAAAGCCCAUUUUAUUUUCUUGGGUAUUUAAGCUUUAAGACCAUCUGAUUUUUAAUAUUUUUGGGCUUCAACAUCACAAUUGGCCCAAUUCCCAUAUUGAAACAACCACUAUUCUUUGUCAAAAAUAAUAAAACAAUCCAAUAUUCAAUUUAAAAUUACAACCCAACAAAAAAAUACACAAUAAAACAAAAUAAAUUACCUAUAAAAAAUAAAUAAAUUACAAUCAAAUUUAAAAUUACAACUCCAUUCUUUUGCUCUUUUGUUGCUGCAUCUCCGAACACCAAGUGAACCUACCAGAUCCAUGUAUUGCCAUCAAUAAUCUAAAUUUGUGGAAAAUAAAAACAAAACUCCAAAAACCCAAAAGUGAAAAUGGAUCAAGAAAUGCAACAGCAAAAGAAAAUUAUCAGAAAACUAGACCAUUUUCAUGAUCAAAGACAGCCAAAUGAGUUACCUGCUUGCCCAUUUUGAUAACAACAUACACUGCUUCUCAUGCCUCUAACAUGUUCUCAGAAUACCCAGAAUACCCAUCAUGUUCUCCAUUGGAUCUAGAUUUAUGUUUAUUUUUUCUUCACAGAUUGAGACAACCACACGUACAUAUUCAGACAACCACAACCCAAUCCAAUUUGAUAUAUAUUUGAUAUACUGGAGCUUCAAUUUGAUAUAGUUUCAAUCUGCCUUAUUUCAAUCCAUUUCUUCUUUUGACAGCAUAAUAUCAAGAUAGGCAUAUAAAAUACUUUUCAUAUCACCAAGAAGUGCUAAUCAAUUUGAUAAAAUACAAGCAGUUGGCAUUUGGAGGUUUUUUGGCGCAUCACAGUGACAUACCUGAGAGAGAGAGAGAGAGAGAUAAGAUGAAGAGGUGGACUGCUGGAUCUGCAAACUGCUGGAGGACAGAGGAAGCUGCGAACUGCUGGUGCUGGAUCUGCAAAUUGUUGGAGGACAGAGGAAGCUCCGAAUUGCAGACAGAGAGAGUUGGUCAGAGAAUCGAAGGGGAAAAAGGAAAAAAAAGAAAAAAAAGAUAGAGAAUCUAACCUGUGUGACAACGGCGACUGAGAAAGGUGGCGACUGAGAGGAGCAGCGGCUGAGAGAGGUGUGGUUGAGAGAGAGGUUUGGCUGAGAGUGAGGUUUGCUUGAGAGAGAGGAGGAUGGUUGAGAGAGAGCUUCGGCGGCGCGACGGCUGAAGGAUGAAGAGGAUGGCUUAGAGAGAGGAAGGUUGAGAGAGAAGUUUGGGUGAGAGAGAGGAUGGCUGAGAGAGAGGUUUGGCGCAGACAGAGGUUUCGGCGGCUGAAGGAGAGAGGAAACGAAAUGGGAGGAUGAAGGAAGAAAGAAAACCCUAAUCGCGUUAUAAUUUUUGUGAUGAAUGUGUGUGCGCGCGCCUACGGUAACAUCAUACACAACCAAUAAAAAAGGGCCACAUGUUAAAAAAUAUAUAUAAUAUAAAUAUAUAUAAUAUAAAAUAAUAUAAAAUAAUUAUAUUGGACCGGUUCGGAUUGGACCGGUUCUGUGUGGUGGAAAACCGAAACCGGAACCGGUUUGAACCGGUUCGGUUUGGAUUUGUCUCGGUUUUUGACUUUUUUGGUCAAUACGGUUUUUUUUGGAUUUUUUCAGUUCGAUUUGGUUCGGUUUUGCGGUUUUGCGGUUCCAAUGCCCACCCCUAAUAUAUAGGAUUGGCGUGCGAUUCCUUGAAGAUGGCAGCUGUCAAUUUUGGUUGCCUUCAAACCUCUAUAAAUAUAGAAGGCUCCUAACAAACAAAACAGAACCCCGAACCAAACAAAAACUACUCAAUCAAACUGAUCAAGUUCAAUGAUUUAAACAAAUCAUUCAAGCCAACGAAUACAGAAAGCUAGUAAAGGUGCCAAGGACCUCCAAAGCUAUCCUUGAGAUUUUGCUCAGAAUUCUAGCUCACGAUUCCAAACACUUUUGGCUCAAACCUGAAGAAAGCUUUGCUAAUACACAGUCAUUGGUAUCGAUUGCUAGCUAAAAUUCCAGUUAGUUGAAGGUACUGCCGGUUCAGUAAAAUCCAGUCCAAUCAAAAAAAGUCCAAUCCAGCCUAAAAAAAUGAACAUCUCUGCAAUGGUGUUUCAGGCAGAAAUUGAAGUCCAAGCAAUUCUUUUCCACUUGUUGGCUGAUGCUUUUCCAGACUUGGCAGCUCCUUUGAUGUAUUAUAUUUCAAGCAAUUCUGCUUGAACUUGUUUGUUUUAUUUUCAAGUACUUGUAUUUUCCUUUACUUACCAGUUUUAUUUAGAUAAAUUGUGAAGUCCUCAUCAGUCUGAGGCAUAGAAAAGGACUUCCUUGGGAGGUUUCCCCACCCCAAAUCACAAUUGUUUGUUUAAAGUCAAAUACUUGAGGCGCAAAUAUAUUACAUCUUUUAAGCUUGUUAGGGUUUUAAUCUCUAACAUUAGCACGCUCACAUAAAAGAAAGUUGAUAUAAAGACCAUUAAUGGUUAAAAAAAACACUUUAGAUGAGUAUAUAGUGCUAUAUGUAAGGUAGGAGUAAAGGGCAGUCCUGAGUUUUUUAAGGCCCAUAACGAAAGGCAUAACCUUUAUAGACACAAUAAUUUCUCAAAAAAAAAUAAUAAUAAUAAAGAACUUUUAAUGGCUAAGAUUGGAUGCAGACUCAAUCAAUACACAUUGGAAAAAAAAAUUCAUUUCAGAACAUUUUAAAUAUUUUUAUUUUGUCUCUCCUCCCUGCUAACUCUACAUUCUCCUUUUGUUUUCAACUCUGCUCUACAUCUUUCAUCACUCUCAAGGCCACCCACCAGAAAACUAUUCUUUUAUGGCAAUGGAUAAAUGAGAACAAAAGGCCAGCAAUCAUAAAGAAAAUCAUACCUGAAAACUAAGGCCAAGAAACCUCAAGAAUAAAAAAGAAAAUGGAUUACAUGAGAAAUAUAUCAAUCCCUUUAUUUUUUUUAAUUUAGAGAUUUCAAUCCCAGUAUGCUAUUUAUUCAGGCUAUCUCCGUUAGUCCUACAAUAAAUGUGCAGUAAGCUGACCUUUUUUUUUCGCAUAAAAGAACUGACUUAUUAAAUAAAAUAUGUGGGUGUCGUAAAGUCAAGAAUGUGGAGCUCAAAAUGAUAGAGCCCACUACCUAAUUGAUUGAAGAAGAAUAAUGGUGAAGCUUGUUUGCCAAAAUCCACGUGAAGCCAAAGAAAUAUGAGUAAGCAGCCACAGAAUUUUGCCUACAAAUAAGAGUUAUCCCUUCCUUCGACACACACACCAUCUGAAAAGAAAUGAGAGCCCAGAGAGGAAAGACAGGAAGGAAAGAAAGAGGGUGAGUGAGUGGAGAGAUAAAGAGAGUAGAGAGAUUCUCCAAGAGAGAAAAGUCAGUGAGCCACAUAUAUUGUAAACACUAAAAUUGUAGCCUUAUUAUUUUACAUAGUGGAAAAAUUACUGUUGCUGCUCUCCGAGGACGUAGGCAAGGCCGAACCUCGUUAAAUAUUGUGUUUUAUUUACUUUACGCGCUACUCAUAUUAUAGCAUAUCCCGUUCAUUUUACAACACGUUAUGAACACGAAUUCGCUUUUAAAAUACCAGCUGAACUCUCUGAUGAACCCCAUCUGCUUCAAUACCUUUCUUUCUCAAAUUUCUAGCAAUCAACCUCUCAACUGUGGCAGAGAGUAUAGCCCUCUAUAAAACAUGUCUACGAACAUGUAAGAAAAGGGAAAAGAAAACACAAUCUAGAUAAACACCACCCACCGCCUCCAAAGAGAGAUUUACCAGGGAUGGGAUGGAACUGUGGUCUGCUUAAGGAGAUGUUAAUUGAAAGGGCUAUACAAGGAAAAAGAAUUCUUGGUGUUUAUCUGAGAGAUAAGUCAUCUACUCUUCUUUAUCCUGAUUGUUUAUGUAAUAUUAUAUAAUCAUAUUGAUCAUAAAAAGCAAGUAAAGGUGUACAGGAGGAGCUUGUGUAGGUUCAUGUUCAUCCACUUUGUUUACGAAAUUAUAACUCAAAGGAGCAGACAAACGUGAAUGCAGACUAGCACUAAGGUUUGUCUCUACUUUUCAUUUCCUCUAGUAUUGAGAGGAACCCACGAAAAGAAAAAGGUAUUCAAGUUGACAGCCUAUGUAUAUAUAUAAUAUUAAUAUGAAAAGUUGAUGGUAAUAUAAUAUACUAUAUUUAUUUGCUUUUUUAUUACUAACCACUAAUAAAAAUGGAUCUUUAGUAAUAUUAAACAUAUUAUCAGUGGGAGGCCGUUAAUAAUACUAACACAUAUCUUAUUUUAUUCGAUGGUGGUUUUAUCUCUGCAUUUACUUUAUUUACUGUAUGGUGUAGGUUUAUUACCCAUACAACAGUAUUUAUUUAAAAGUAUGGUGCGGAUUUAUCGUCCACACAACUACCUUUACUUUUAUUUAACGUCCAUACAGCAAGUAAUUUCAUUUAUGAAUUUAUUUUACCUCUCAUUUACCUUUAUUUAAAGUAUGGUGUGAGUUUAUCGUCCAUACCAACAAUUUAUUUUAUGAAUUAAUUGUGUGGUAUGAUGAGUUUUAUAGCAUAUAGAGAUCAGGACCAGAAGUUUCUUGAUCCUCAUCAUACAAUUAAAUCAGGACCUAAAGAUCCUUAAUGAUGAUAAUGAUAUGAGAGCUGGCAGUCUCUCUGGUACUAUAUUUGUAAACAAGAGAUCGGACAUGAAGAUCCUUGAUCCUUGAUAUGUAAAUAAGGACAUGGAGUUCCUUGAUGAUGUAACAGUACCGUAUUGGUUAAUAGUGUCGUACACAUGAAUAGUAACUGUACUAGCAAAUAUACUGUAUGCAUGAAUAGACACGUAUUCAUGACCUGAUGAAUAGUAUCGUAUACAUGAAUAGUGACGUAUACAUAAAUAUUAACCAUUUUGACUAUAUACAAAAAGGAACCUGCAAUUCCUUAAACUCAUGGAUGAGGAAUUAAAUAAGAUGCCAGAAGUUCCUCAAAACAUGGACAAUUAUGUAAGGGUAUGAAAUCCCGAAAUAUGUCCAGGGAAUUAUAAAAAAGUCCAUACCAUGAGAAUAUAUGAUUUUGGCCUGAAGUUCAAAAUUUAACAAUGUUGAGAACCUGAAGUUCCAACAAUUAAAUGGACAACCUUUGAGGUAUUAUUGCAAAUUGUGGUACACCACAUAUUUCUUUGGCAUAAUGAAUUUAAUAAAGUUCGAUUAUUUUAUAAUCGACACCUUAAGGAAGAAAUAUAUUUUGUGAAUUCGGUUGUUAAGAAUGCACCGUGAAAUGGAUAAUAUCAGGAUAAACCUCAAAAGAUGAAUUAAGGAUCCCCAUAUAUUUUGUCAUAUUAUAUGAUCUAGGCGGGAAGCCCAUGGAUCCCAACAUAUGAAAAGUCCUGAACCUAAAGUUUUGGGUAUAUAGUAGUUAAUGCUCUUCACUACUAUAUUGCAAUAUUAUCAUGACUUUUCCUCAAUUCAUAUUUCAUGCCUAUUUGAAAAAGGCAAAUCAAUUUUGAGGUCGUGUUUAGCCCGGGCUAGAAGUUCCAGACUCACAUGCGUUGAAAUAUGUAAUUUGAGAGAUUUGUUGUGGUUAUUUGAACCUAAAAAAGCACAAGGUUCCAAACCAUCAUUUUGAAAAGACGUGAAAACCACAGGUGCAAGUUUAAGAAUUUGCCCAAUAAUUAUAACAGGAAAGAAGCAUAUAACAAAUAGAUUCUCUUCACCUGUAAGGAGGGAGCAGGCUUUGUAAAAUCUAUAAAAUUCCAUUAUGUUCUGGAAGCCUCUGAAGGAAGAGAACGAUGUCUCUUAAGCUUAGCCAUGAUCCUCUCGUGGUCUCCCAGAAUCUUUUCAUUGGAAAUCUGCAGCAUGUCAAGCCUUGUCUGCGUAUCAAUGGAGUAUGAACUCACAAGUUUCAACAAGGAAUUAUUUUCCUCUUUACGUUUUUUAACCUCAUGUUGAGACUCAUUAAGCAUUCUUGGAAGAGACGAAUUUUCAGCGUUCAACUCCUGAAUCUCGUUUGCUCUGGCAUGUAAACAAUCAGCCAUAUUAGAAACAAAAGUAGCAUUCUGAAUGCUAAAAGCCAUUGAGUCAUCAAUAGCCUAUUUGUCAUAUCUUCCUGUUAACAGUAUUUCAUCCAUAGGAGUAAGGAAAUUCCUAGCUGCUAUGACAGCAGUUGUAUUAUUCAUCAUCACAUAAUCAUUAACCGUGAGAUGACGAUUUUAGGAUACAAAGGAUGGACGCCAGACUUUGGCGUCACGGGUUGUUUUGGGGGCAACAUUUAAAUCGAAAUGCUUUGAGGGAGAAGAAGAGGAAGCCAUUUUAAAAAGGUUUCGAGGAAAGUCCUAGAAAAACUAAAUUUUCAGGAAAUGAAAGGAAGUUUAGUUGAAAUGCAGUUAUUCCAAUCAGGCCUCACAGAGGCAAUAUCUAUAAACGAAAAUGUGGCAAAGUUUACCAGUCAGAUCCCCAUAUUCUCUUUUUCUUUUUUCAUAUUCUAAAACUUCACGCGGCCUCCAUUAAUGUCUAUUGGCACUUUAAGGGUUUCAAAUAUUAUUUUCGUUAAAGCCGAUCUUGCUUUGCGGAUUUCACGAAGUUACUUUUUCAAAAGCAUCUCGAGCACCUCACAAUUUUCUGUAGUUAAUUUGAUAUUCACCGGAUCUACCAAUUCCUCUAAUUUGUGUAUAAAUAUGUUACUAACGAAAUUUUCUUUGCAGAUUACAUCUAGUUUUCUCCAUAUCUAGUAAUGCAAUAUCCACUUGUUUUUUCUAUCAGUGGGCACUUGAUGUGCUUGAGAAGCGAGACUAUCUCUGAUCAUCAAUUCAGGAAGCGAGGCUAUUCCUGAUCACUUUUCAACGAUGUCAGGGAACUGUAAGACAGACAAGAACGACCACAUCGCCCUAAUCUCCUGAAGUUCUCUUAGACUAAGGGAGAAUGAGAGUUCGUUGCCUGUUUCCUCACCAAUUUCCUUCCCUGAUUCUUUAGAAUGAACAUUUGAAAAACAAAUCCAUGUAGUGAACUUAACACUGAGGGUUAUCUUUUUUUUUUUUUAUACAGAGACAGAAGAAUUGUGAUGUUUACUCUUGCAGGAUAUAACUAGAUCAUCAAGCGUUACUUAUAUUUGUUGAGCUGAUACGAGCUCCAAUGAUACUUGAGCAAAGUUUCUCCCACCAAAAGAUGUAAGCAAUACUUGUGUUAUUUCAUACUUGUACUCUUAUUGUACGACAUCCUUAAAGGUAACCAAAUGGGGAGAUAAGGCCAUUCCAGAAGAACGUCAUGUAAAAGAUCAUUCUAGAAGAAUGACUUGCAUUAUAGAUCAUUCCAGAAGAACGACUUAUAUUGUGACCAUUCCAGAAGAAUGGCUUGUAUUUAUGUAUCCAUGAAUUAUUAAUGCAAAUUUCACAGAUUGCAAGUUCGAUACAUUGAUAAAACACUACAUAGAUUAAAGUCCCAUAAGAACAGAACAUGAGUAUAGCAGUGAUCAAUAUGAUGCACGCUUGUUGCAUAGCAAAUGAUAUGGAUUGAAGUCCCGGAAGGACAAUCCGUUAACAUGUCAAUAUUAAUACGGUGCACGCCUAAUGCGUGGCAAAUUAUAUGGUUUAAAGUCCCAGAAGGACAAUUCAUUGACAUAUGUGUGUUAAUCUGUGGCAUGCCUGGAGCAUGACAAAUAUAUGGGUUCUAAAUGUUCCAAGUCCUUAAAUGAAGAUUAUCUACGCCCUACUAUAAAAUAACGCUCCAUUGGAGGUUAUGAUCCACAUUCUCACAUAAUUCAUCUUACAAGAGAUGUCUGUCUGGAAAGAGACAAUAAAAGCCCCUUUGAGUGGCUUGGGUACCCAAAAGCAAAGAAAUGCUUAUAAUUGAUGCAUGCGCAUGCACAUGAGAAUGGUGGGAUAAUGAAUUGAUGAAUGACAAUUUUUUGUAGCUACUCAAAUCAUCAAUGGGCUGUAUUGAUUGGAACCACGUUAUAUUAUUAAAUGUCGACAAUAUCAUUGGCUAAAAAAAAUUAAGAAAAUGGAAAGAGACAAUUUCAUUACAUAUGAGAAUGAACGUGAAGGAACAAACCCAUAGUACGAACCCCCAAAAGAUGUUAACCCUAAAAGUUAUACUUGGGUGUUCGGAAUAAAGAGGAAUACACUCACUUUGUAUGACACAAUGUUUCUGAUAGAACCAAGGAAUGUUGAGGUUCUCCAUGUUUACAGAUGCAAUCAUGCCUUCUUAUUGCACAUCUACGGAGACCAACAUGUUGUCUUUAAGGGUUAUUAAAUGCACGGAGCAUAUCUCCAAAAGCAAUUCCCUAAAGAUGUACAAGCAGAACAAAUAGCUGGAUAUAAAGCUAUAUAAUGUGUCAUGAAGUGUAAUCCUGAAAUAAAAUCCCUGAAGGAUUGAAAUUGCAUGAAGCAAGUCUUUGAAGGACAUGUGCCUGAAGCACAAAUUUUGUACCCAAUACUAAUAUGUAUAAAUUGCCUCAGUGAGUACCUAAAUUAUGAUAUGGUUGCAACACAUUACAACUCCUGAAAAGUUGAUAAUUGAACAGAACUCCUAAAGAGUUAAUACUUGAUUAAAACUCCUGAAGAGUUCAAGAAAUAUUUGUCAUGGCUUGAAGAUCGAGUAUUAUGCCAACGAGAUUCUUGCUUAUACUAAGAAAGUAUUGAAGCAUUUUUAUGUGGAUUAUCCGUUGGGCACUUAAAUGAUUUUCCGGAAGUAUACUGAACCGAACAUUGUAUUUUCCAAAUAAAUCCAUUGGUUGAUGUGGGAUCUUACAAUCCACCCCCCUUAAGGGCCCGACGUCCUCGUCGGCACACUCGCACCACACGGCAAAGUGGCUCUGAUACCAAAUUGUCACAUCCCAAGAUCAACUCCGCCGUAGCACGAUAUUGUCCGCUUUGGGCCCCCCCUCUCUGGUCCUCACGAUUUUAUUUCUGGGAGCUCACGAUCAACUUCCUAGUGGGUCACCCAUCUUGGGAUUGCUCUGGCCCCCAACUCGCUUAACUUCAAAGUUCUUAUGACUCCGAAGCCAGUGAGCUCUCAAAAGGCCUCGUGCUAAAUGGAUACGGGUGUGCACAUAUAAGGCACAUCACCCCCUCUCCGUUGGUUGAUGUGGGAUCUUACACUCUCUCUCUCUCUCUCUCUCUCUCUCUCUCUCUCUCUCUCUCUCUCUCUCUCUCUCUCUCUCUCUCUCUCUCUCUCUCUCUCUCUCUCUCUCUCUCUCUCUCUCUCUCUCUCUCUCUCUCUCUCUCUCUCUCUCUCUCUCUCUCUCUCUCUCUCUCUCUCUCUCUCUCUCUCUCUCUCUCAAACCGAUCCGAACUCAAAUUCUAUAGAUUGUAAUUAAAAUAUCUCAUUCGAUAUGCAUAUGGUGGAUUAUAAAUUUGUCAUGAUUAUAUUCAGUUUCUAAUCGCCCACUUCCUCACCAAUAAGGUUGAGUCUUAGAAAAACUAAUGAAGAUGAUUAAGUCAAUGACGUUAGUUUUUUUUGGUCAAAGUCAAUGACGUUAGUUAAGUUUAGUUAAUCAAUUAAACCAAAGAUAAUUAAGAAAUUAAGUAAUCAAACAUAUGAUGUAAGGUUACGCCUUAAAAUACAAUUAGGGAUUUUAGGCCUAUUGAGCUUGUGACUUUAGUUUGGUGAUAACUUAAUUUCAACAGGCCCAAUAGGCCCAUUGACUAGGCAUGGCUGGCUAACAGUACGAGGCAUAUUGGAUUUCACUUGUUUUAAGCACUAUUUAAAGAACCUUAUGUCUCUCUUCCUAUUCAGCGUUUCAGCAUUUGAGAUUUUAGGCUAAGAAGCAACACUCCUAUUCUCACCUAGUAAAAAAUGGCUCCCUCACGGAAGAUCACUAUGAAUGUGUGUGUGUGUGUGUGUGGUGUGUUCCUUAUGCAUUAUCACGGAAGAUACUUCUUUUUGUGAUUGCUGCUGCUGCAUUUUACUCAGGCUUGUUAAUUCAAAGAUGCAUGGAUGAGGAUUCUACUAUAAGAACUUAUCCUGACAUUGGUGAACAUGCAUUUGGGAAGAAGGGAAGAAUAGAUAAAAAAGAGUCUCUGGAAAAUUAGGUCUUGAUAAAAAGGUUGCAACUGACAGAGAAGAGGGUUCAGAUCUGAGGAGAAAAUGGGUGGUGUGGUGUUGGCGAUGAAGACAAACACCUGUUUCUUUCUUUUGCCAUUGGACGAUGAAGAAAAUGGGUGGUGUGGGUUUUUUGCCCUAUUUUUUUAAUUGAUUUUUUCAAAAAAAAAUUAUAUGAAUAUUUUAUUACACGUAAAUAUAAAAAUAUAAAAAAUAUGGGACCCAUAAAUGCCACGUAGGCAACUAACCGAGAAAUUUGACAGAAACUCUAAUGGUGGAACCACAUUAUAACAAAUUUAAAAUAUCGGGAUAUGUGAUUGUAAAAAUUGAAAAGAUAGGGACUAACUUGUCUUAAGGGUGUAACUACAGAGUACUAAACUGUAAUUAAUUAUCUUAUGCACCAUUAGAUAUGCAUCAAUGGCAGUUUUAGGGUACUUAAUGUUUGGGUCAACAAUUUAGUCACAAAUAACUUUAAACCUCCCAACCAAAAACUUAGCUCAAAAAUCGCAAUAUGGACCACCCUUGUCAAUCCACCACCCAAAUAUGCUUUAAUGGUUACACCAAUAAUAUAUUCAGCCAAAAAUUGGUUUCCAAAUCACUGCAAUAACGGGCACUUCGACCUUCUCCUCAGUUCUAGCUUGGUAAUCAGCAGUGUUGUAGUAGCUUUGGCGGUUCCCUUUUUCGCAUAUCUCGUGUCACUGGUUGGAGCAUUUUUGAGUGUAUCAGCUUCACUUCUAUUCCCAUGCUUUUGCUACCUUAAAAUUUCAGCUACGUACCGAAAUCUCGGAUGUGAGAUGUUGAUUAUAGGGUUCAUUAUUUUAAUGGGAGCUGCAGUUAUGAUUCUUGGUACUUACACAGCUGUAUCAGAAAUAAUAGAGCAUUUGUAAAUUGAUGUAGCAGCUUCUCUUUUUCAACAUUAAUAUAUAUUGCUGCUGCUAGGGUUGAAGAGCUUUUAUAGUACUGAUGGCGAUAGAUUUGUGGCAAAAAAGUCACCAGCAUAACAAAAGACUUUGGCAUAUAGAUGUGGAGAUGGCCAAGGAGUCUUCAAUUUAGGUUCAAGUAUAACAAUUAUUUUGUGGAAUGUUGUCACCAUGGUGAUUGCUUUCCAAAAAUAUUCUUUGAUUUCCAUAAACUCUUCACAUGAUAGUACAAUUGAAUUAUUUACUCAAAUGAUCCUCAAAUUUAUGCCUGAUUUACAUUUCGAUCCUUCAACUAAAUUAUUGGUUCAAAUAGUCCAUCAACUCUAUAUUAUUUGGUCCAUUGAUCCUACCGUUACAUUUUGUCAAUAUUUCCAUUAAAUGUGAGGGUAAAUUGGUCAUGUCGUACAUUAAAAAUAAAUAGAUACUGAAAAAUGAAAUAAAAAGCUCUCUCUCCAUUCCCCAUGACCACCACUUGCAAGCUCCAAUCCGCAAAGGAGUGUUGAUUAACUUUGAAUGUUACUGUAAUGUUAGAUAAAUUUGGGAACACUCCUUUGCUUGAAGCCAUUAAAAAUGCGCAGGAUCAAGUAGCUUCUUUACUUGUCAAGGAGGAAUUUGGACACUGACAUUAACCCUGAAAAGGCCUUUAGCCACUGACAUUAACCCAAAUACGAAAAAUUAUGAUCAGCGACCACCGCUUCAUGUAGCUGCUUCAGAAGGCGUAUAUCCAAUGGUAGAAUUCCUUCUAGAAGUACAAUCUGAGUGUUAAUCUGGCUUGUCAGAUACUGUUCUUAAAAAUUUCUUUAAGCUUCUAAAUCCAAUAGGAUCCAAUGAAGUUAUAGGGGCAAUAGACGAGAAGAUGAACAGUAAUCUGAUAAUUCUGGUUAGAGUAAAGCAAAGGACUGCCUAUUUAAAAAAUAAAUAAUUCCAACAUGCAUGUUUAACCUUUCUAAUUAGUCUACUUCCUGAUUGCAGAUGGGGGAAGCACUCCACUUGAUGAAGCCCGUAUUAAUGGAACUAAGAAACUAAUCAAACUGCUAGAAGUUGCUAGAGCUUCGUAAUUGUCAGAGUUCUCUUAUCAAUAUCAUCAAGAAACUACCUAUGCAUGUCUCUGAUCAAUGUGUAUUAUCAAUUAAAUGAUAAAUGUUAAUAGGAGAUGGAACAAAAGUUCUGAGAUGUUGAUAUAUUGUUGAGAAUUUUGUUUGAAUCUUUAAUUCCCCUUUUGAUUUUCUAAUGUGAGUACCUUGAAAUGCAUGGAUUGAACUAUUAUUGUUUAUCUGGCUUGAUCAUUCUCAGUGUCAAUUAUUCUCACUAGUCUUGUAAUAAUCAAGGACUCGAGUAAUUCUUGGGUCAUGGAAGUAAUGCAUGAAUGCAUCAAGUAAUCUAGAUCGGAAUAGUAAAACGAAAGAAGCACAACUUUUAAUCCCACAGAUAGUCUUAGCUAGGUUACAAAAAUUAAUGCAUGAGCAGCAGCUGCAUGCAAUAUUAUUGAAAGCCAAAUCACAACAUAAGGAAAACUUAAGAAAAUGCCACUUUCGCAGGGAACGCGAUUGCAUUUAGCAUAUACAACAAGCCUUUUAAACCUAUAGGUGACCCUGAUAGGACGAGUGAAGUCUCGUGAGGGUUUCCAGCGACGCUACCCACAAACAUCAAAUUAACUUAACAGGAUAAUCAUCCUGGAAGUUUUUUGACAAUGAAGGCAUGGAUUUCGUUGGGUUUUGCACUUUCUACAGCGAGGAAAUCCUUCAAGAGGGAUUCAGAUUUUGGCCCUAUAGGCUUUUCCGUGUACACGUGGAUGAACUUGUAUAAGCCGUCCAGUCCCGGGAAUUCCAAACCCUCCGGCUUGAAGAGUGUACAUGACCACAGGGUUUUAUUUGGCUGUUUCUUGUCAGCGUCGGCCACAAUCCACGAACUUUGUUGGCUUUCCAGUCUCAAGUAUUUGUCGUUGUAGGUGCAUUUUAUAUGCACCAGACUGGGGUCGUUUACGUCCUUCUCCACUUUGAACCUUGCGUCUUUGCUGUGACUAUCCUGUCCGGAGCAUUGGAGAAAAUGUGGCAGCUUUGGGAUGGUGGGUUGGUGUUUGUAGACCAGGUAUUUCCUGUUCUUGACUGAUUCAAGAGCAAUAAACUCUGGUAAUUCUGCCAUUUCUGAUGAUCUCACGCUCGCGCUUCAAUAUGAUAAUUUUUUUUUUUUUUUUAAUGUAUACAAAUGUAAACUCACUUCUCUCUUUCUUUCUCUCUCGUUGCUUACUGCUUUUCCUAGCUCCAACCUGCUGUGCUAUUUAUAAUCAAGCAAACCCAAACCAUGCAUGCAGCUUUCACUUAUUUUUCUUGCUG
rnacentral:lncRNA from 1 species